rnacentral:lncRNA from 1 species
UACAUUCAUUUUAUUUAAGAAAGAUAAAAUUUUCAUAUAAUAAUUAGUAAAUUUUUAGAUAUAAUUUUAUCAAACAACUCUUAUGUCAAUGUAUAUUAUUUUUUAUUUAUUGUUUAUUAAACACACAAAUAAUUUUACAACUAAAGACUCACUCUUUUUUUUUUUAAUAUAUAUUAAAAUACAAAUGUAUUUCUAAUUGCACUAGUACUAUAUUAUAUGCUAUAGCUCUAAUUUCAACUCUCUUUCUCUCUGUCGUAUGCUUUGUGCCUUCAUGUAUUAUAAUAAUGAUGAAGGUCUUCACUAAAUUAAAGUUUAGUUUCUCGUAACAAAAGAUAAUUUAUUUAAUGAGUACAAAAUUGUUUGCAACAUAUUUUUUUGAGCUUUUGAAAUGGAAAUGAUUUAUUGGUGUGUGUUCUUAUUCUCUUUCCCUGCCUGCUUUCAAUGGAAAUGGUCUUUCUUUCCCUGUCAUAUUCCACAUUCCUUAACCUUGCUUCUCCGAUCUUGUUUGUGCAACAAAUCUGUUUUAGGUAAAACAUCACGACUUUGCCAAGAUUGGACGUUUCGAUUCCAAUUCAGAACAGAGAAACUUGUUGUAUAUGUCAGGACCAAGAAGUUAGCAUACAGGAAAGUAAAGAAGAAAGAUGGAAUACAUGGAGAGGUAAGAGUGAUGAUACUCGAGCAAAAGGCGAGAAAAAGAAGAAAAGAUGUAGUCACCUGAAUCCAUUCUUCUCAAAAUUUGUUGGUCAAUCUUUUCAGACAUAUAUUAGUCUGUGAUCAACGUGAAUAUUCUACAAACAAAGAUGAGAAAUGAAGGAGCAAAUUCCACAUGUCGGCCUAACAAUCUCAUUCAUGACUUUGCAUGCCUACCAAAAAGAAUGUUCGUUCGUCCUUCAAGUCCACGCAUGCUGUUCCUUUCAUGCCUAAAUCACCUGUACCAUAUACUUCCGAGAUUUCUCAAUCUUAAACCAAUUCAAAGACUCUACCCAACCAAUAUAUAUAUAUAUAUAUAGGAGAUGUUGGAACGAUCCAAAUUGAUCCGAGCAGUUUGAUCCAACAUGGAGUGGGAGUCGAAUAGUGGAGACAAAGCCCUUGAUCUGAUACCUAUAAAAGAAGAUCAAUGUUGGAUGUGCCCGACCUGAUACAAUGCCCCUAGUGAGCAAAGAGAGAGAACAAAAGGAUGCAUAUAUGUGUCUCUUAAACAAUUUAAAGAACAUUUAAUAAGCAUUUUUUUUAAACUUCAUACAGAGGUUUAAUGUUGUGAACAUUAAACUCGAACAUACUUGUCUGCAAGACUUCUCUUUUAUAGCUGCAAUCAGUGUUUUUGUUGUGUGUGCAGAAGAUUCUUGCUGCCUGGACACUGUAAGCUUUUCUUUUAGCAGUUGCUCUCAAAGUCUGAAUUAUUCCUUCAAAACUUGCCAAGGACUUGUCCAUUUCCUCUUCCAGACGCAUUGCAUGUUCAUGUGUGUUAGCUGCUGCAAGAAAAAUUAAUUUAAUUUAUUGUAUCCCUUGUGUUGGAAUAAUACACCAUCAAAAGAUAUAUAAACAUGAAUAAUUUACCAUUUACUUUCUUUUGUUGGUAUUGUGCAUUUCACUAAUGUAGCCAACAAGGGGGGCCGCUGCUUGGACCCAACAAGCUCAAGCUAUUAGGUUAUAUGAAACCUUCUCCUAUGUUUGAGCUGUGAUCCUGACUUUUUAACUUGGCAUCUUUACAGCAUAUCAGAUCUGUCAUCCAGAUUUCAUACUCACAGCUGCGAGAUCAACACCGACUCAAUCAUGAAGUAUUAUUAGCAAGGAAGAAAGGUGGUGGCCACAUGACAUGAAUGCAUACAUACACAACCCCCCCAUGUCCUCGAUCGAAGUAUUAGUUGGUCGCAGCUUGCAGUAGUACCAAAGUGUAGGUGGCACGUCACAUGUCCUCUCCGUUCUGGUCGAUUCCCAUUUGCCCUGCCACAAGAAUCUGAGUUGGAUUUGGUCUUCUCUUACGAGGGUGGAUCUACUUCUCACGGCAAAACAGGACCGUAACUUUUGUGUCUUUAAUAGCCAACAUCUAUAGAUCUGUGAUGGUUAAUUACUACAACCGACACACACAACACACAUAAAGCAGCAAAGCAAAGCAGCUCUUUCUUCAACAUAGACCACGAAGUACAGCUUCAAAUCUUAUUUGCUUGAAUUAUAACUACAGAAAAGAAAGAGUAAGAGUGAAGCAGUACAGAUCACAUUCCCACCAUGGCUAGCAGAAGAUUUCCGAGGGUUUCUCCUUGUCAAAGCGAACGCUUCUUACAGCACAAGCGCACAGCUUACAACCUCGUUUAAUCCUCUCCCUCUCCCUCCAAGAAAUUAAAACUAAAGAAUAACAGCAUGAUAAUAAUAACGAAGCACUACAUAUCUUCAAACAGUAGUCUCUUUCUUAUCAUCAUCAUCACAUAUAUAGAUAUAUACUUGUGGAUGUAAGUAAUCAUGAUAGCUCUUCUGGCUUCCCAUCAUCGAAGUUUUGUGCGUAGCCGACCGAGUCAUACCUAAAUCCCUGUGUGGUAGGGAGGGAGUUGGAUCGCAUGAGCUUCCUGAUCUCCGAACGCACCCUGUGGAAGAUGUGCCGCCAGCUCCCCUUGCUGUGCCACCCGAGCAUGGCCGUCUCCUCCUCGUUCAUCUCGAUGUCCUGAGCGAACACCGGCUUCCUCGACAGGAUCCACCCCCACCACGAGCCCCACCACCUCCUCAGAGGCCCACCGGCGAACUCCCCGAUGGACGGCAUGGACUUGCACCGCCUGAUGGCCCAUUCGGUGGAGACCGAGGACAAGGGCUGGAUCUUGACGGAGAAAGACGAGAUCCGCUUCCUCAGGCCUAUCAGGUGGGUGUCCUGCUGCUGCUGCUGCACUUGGAAGGUGGGGAGCUCGUCCUUGUAAGGCAUGGUGGGGAAGAACCUUUUCUUCUGGACAUUCUCGAACAAGGAGCCCAUGGUUGCAGGAGAAGAGAGAAGAAGAAGAAGAAGAAAAGGAUUUGAGGUUGGCUUCUUCUCUUAGCUUUUGGUGGCACUUAAGGAAGGCCAAGGGUAGAUAGAGAGAGAAAGAGAAGCCCAGCACUGUGGACAGGCUGGUUCAAUGGGAGAACGGCGGGGGCCACGAAAUGCUUUUGUCUCUGCUGCUUUGGACCCCUCAAAACUAGAGGAGGUGGAAUCAUUUUGGCAAUUUACCAAGCAAUUAUAUUUUUUAUUAAGUUAGACAUCAGCAUCUCACGUUGUUCAUAAUUUUUUGUCCCUGGUAAGAGAAGCAGUGUGUUGAUGACUUUUGUAAACCUCUGAAUGUGGGACCAGGAAUUUGGUGUGGGUCCUUCGUUUAGUAAGGGUAGAUCCAAUCUCCCUUUCCGAUUUGACACAAUCAUUAGUUUUUGUGUGGCAUUUUUCAUACAUGAUGAUGGUCUUUCUUAUUCCGGAUUUGCCAAUUAUUUCAUUAUUUUUCGAGAGUCGGAUGUCUCGAAAAAUAAUCUUUUAUAUCAUGAUGAUGAUGAUGAUGAUUAAGUAUCAAACCCUCCUCAAAGUUGAGACAUCAUUCAAUAAAUAUUUACACCUAAAACAUUUAAGAUCUUUCUGAUCUGUCUUGUUUUCAAAGUGUUUGUUGAAUUUCUUAAGUACUAUGUCUUUAUUAAGGGCUUUAUGUCGCUUACUUUCGAAACUAAUCAAUAUUUUCUUUUAACACCUUAGUAAGAUUGCACUUAUAUUGGCAUCUCAUCAUUUAAGCAAAUUCAAUUACUUCAAUACAAAAUCAAUGUUCUCAUUUAUCACAGGGUAACUUUUUUUGAAGGCGUUAGCUAUGUAUGACAAACAUGGAAGCAGAGGUGCAACUCUAUUAUUUCACCCUCGUCAGAAGAAAAUAGACAUCCAGAGAAAUGUACAUUGCAAAAUCUGGGAGCGAAAACACCCAGGAGAGGUGUCGGUUCUAAUGUCCCAAUCCUUCCACCACGUUUCCUUCUUGCUGCCGACGCUUCUUGUGCCCCCCCCAACUCCAUUCAUGGUCGGUGGGAGAGAGUUGCCCAAGGUUUAGGUGGUGAAUCAUGUCGCCUUUGGUGUGAUGGAAGGUGACACACACCCCUCCGUUAGGUAGCAAGAAUUAUACUAUCAGCGUGACUCAAUCAUCAAAAUCUCAUCCUUUUCUAGUGGAGAAGAUGUAUUCUGUAGCGAGCACCCAUUUAUGUUCUUUCUACAUGUUCCCACAUACAAAACCAGCAAGCUGUCUUCACAACAUGGAUAAGGGUUUGAGAUUUGAAGUCCAGUCACAAAGAGACAAGAUUUGUCUCGAUCCUGGAUUUCCAGGAUGAUGAUACCUCAACACUCUGUCAUUGACAAGCUUGGAGAUUCUUGGUGAAUGAAUACAUUAUAUAUAUAUAUAUAUAUAUAUAUAUAUAUAUAUAUAUAUAUAUAUAUAUAUAUAUAUAUUCCAUCUAAUCAAUUUUGCAUCAUAUCUUCAAUAAAAUGAUAGGGAGCCGAGAGGAUGGAUGAUAGUAUCUGUAAUCCUCCUCUCUGGUGUAAAUAGCAAACUAAGCUAGAGAUUAUCAUGUUCCUCCUGAUCACUAUCCUAAUUAUGUUAAUUAACGAUUUACUUAUACAGCAAAGUACAACAAGAUAUAAAUGGAAAAUUCAGGCAAUUAUUUGGAUUUAUUCAGUUCUCCUAGAGUUCUGAAGAAAACAAAAUUUUCCUUGAUGAUUGUUCUUAUAUGUGUAUCUAUAAUGUGAUUACAAGUUCUAUAAAAUUUAGCUUGGAAACCAUCAGGCCUUGUCACAUUUUUAAUCACCCAGUUAAGCUCUAUUACAUGGAAAGAAUAGUAUUAGAAAUUUCUGAGGUUUCUAUAUAUCAUAAAAGUAACUUUCGAUUUACAUCUCCGAGCUUCAUCUAAUGGAUUUGGACCUAUGCUUAAUAAUAUUUUCCUCAGCUGACAAGAAGUCAUAAUAACCUUCCUUUUGAUGUUUUCUCUCAUAUGGAACUAAUCCUGUGUUAUAUUUAAUCUAGCAUGGUCUUCUCCGCAAUCAUGACUAACACUAUUAGUUACUCUGUUGAUAUAUAUAGCAACACCACUUGACAUCAGCAAAAGACUUAAUCGAAAGGCUUAUGCCAUUAACAAGAUUCCUUACAGUCCAGAGCUACAAAGCCAACUAGUGAUUUGAUUAGAGUCCAGUUACACCAAUACCUGUACAAUUCAAAGAAAUGUUUUAUCUCAUUGAGAACACAAUUACUAACCAUAGCAGCAUUGCCCGAGAUCCAUCUUAAAGACCACUCACUAUAUAUGAAGUGUUAUCUCAUGCAGUGCUUCCGUAUCCAACACAAUGCAUCACAACGCCCAUGCCCGUAGCGUUCCCUGAUUAAUGAAACAGCACAAUGUUUCAAGGGGUUUACAAUGGUGGCUGCUCUAUAAAUGUAGAAUAAUUCAGUAUCUUGUAUCUUCCUUCUCUCUCUCUCUCUCUCGCUCUCCUCUGCACCUUAUGUUGGAAGCGAACUCGGCUUUUAACCGUGUUAUCUGAUGAAAACUAGCGGGCGGGCAUCAUUGUAUGUUGAAGUUGAGCCAAGUUUAUACCACAGGAAGAAAUGCGAGUUUACGGCAUGGGACGAUGGAGUAGUAGUACAUUGAUUGGAAUGUGGGAUGGAUCUUAAUAUACCAUUCCAAACACUAUAUUACGGCCAUUCGAAUUGAGUAUAGAGAUUCCUGGUCUGGUCCCGUGGUGCUUGCACCAAAACACGGCCACCAAGAUGGAAGCAUGUUUGAAGGGAAGGGAUAGAGCUUUACAGCUCAUCUUUUCUUAGAUGCAUGCAGCUUGAUCUGUUGCUUCUUUCUUUCUUUGGAUUGGGUCCAUCUGACAAGUCGUCUUACAUGGAUAUCUGGCUAUUUGGAUUCCUCAGGCAUCAGAGCCAGCUGUAAGUCGACCUUAUUGGUAGUACUAAUAAGAUCGAGGAUGGCUCCAUCCCCCUCCUGCUACAAGGGGCUGUAAGUGGCAUCGGGUGAUUCCAUGGAUUUGUGAAUGCUUCAGGCGCACUGGUUGACAUUGGAGUGUACGCCACAUCUGAUGCCACCAGCCGCUUCUUAAAGCCCUUCCAAACAAAAGAUAUAAGGUUUGGGUCAGACAACCUGCUGCUUUUUGCCUUUUAUCUGUGCUUUCGAGGACGACUUAAUUGACACUGCCUACGAUUCUCUAUCCACCAAUCUAGAAGACAACGUUACGGCGAUUCAAGUGGUGUAUUGAGUUGGCUGUUGCACUAUUUCUUUUGCUUCGUUGGUGCAAAAGUAGAGAGCUGCUCUUGUCGCAACCUCCAUUAUUCGAAUACACAAAUUAAAUAUAUGAACAAAAAUAAUUCACAUUCUACUGAAAUGAAAUAAUCUGAUACAAAUAGAUAUUAUAUUAAACCAAACAAGUAUUAUAUUAAUACUAUUAUAAUCUAAUACAAAUGGUACUAAUCCCAUAAGUACCUUGUCAGAAAAAGUACAAGACAAGGUUAGGUAUUGAUCAAUCUAAUCCCAAAAGUCGAAUAAUACUAGUUGAAACUUUUUUUAGGCUAAUUUAUUGAAAAAAGCUCAUACUGUUGUCCUUUUUGGGAUAUUAUCCCAUUUUUACUUGGGCCAUCCUUAUUUUUUUAUUUGUAUGGAAAUACCCUUAAGGCUCUUUGCCUCUUCAUCCUCUUCCUCCCCCUCCACCUUGCGUCCUCAGUGUUCUCUCGUCCGUCCCCCUCUUCGCUCUCCCCUGCCUCAGCGUCCACCUGCUACUCCCUCUCAUUUGCCUUCUCCUCCUCCUCUAAGCACACUAAGAGUGACUAAUCAAACUUGAUUCCAUUAAAUCACACUAAGAGUGGCUAAUCAGAUGCGACUGCCAUAUUUGAUUCCAUCAAAUAAGUAUACAGUGUAUUCAAUACUCUAAGCACUUCUUUUCCAGGAAUCUCCCGAAUGAUGAGGGGCAGGAAACAAGCCACUGGAGGAGCCCAGUCAUGAACAUUUAACCACUCAUCAACACAAAUAUUUUCAUCACUAGCUAAAGUCAAUAUCUGAAUUCUGAAGUAAUAAAGCAGAUUAUAGGACAAACACUUGCUACAAAUUGAUAGGUCAGGUCUUAAAACCCACAGUCGUUUCGUUUCAAGGUUUUGAUGCUUUGUGUAGGCUAAUAUUCAGGUAUGCACAAGUAUUCUGGACUGAAGAAAUCAGGUGAAACAAGAAGAAAGAGGAAGAGCCUGUUUUGGAGUUUGACUUUUCUUAUGUUACAGGAAAAACUAACAAAACCUAGCUAAAUGCACAUAAUAGUUUGUUCUACCUUUGUUUUUAUUCAAAAUUUUUAUUCGUAAUAUAACACCUCAAAGAAUUUACAUCUACAUACUGACCUUCUGUCACUCGAAAUGAAGUUCGAUAAAAUAGAGAAAGAUGAUUUUCAUACCUCCCUCUCCUAAAUUUUACUGUUGACUUCAAAAACUGAAUUACCUUCGUCUUAUAAAUUCUUAAUCACGAGUAAUGUUAUUGUAAUCGUGCUGUUGACCUCUGGAAUAUUAUUGUGUAUAUCCAUCUGCCUCAAGAAUUUCACCACUAAUCUAUCCUGCAGAAGUACCAAAUGUUUUCCAUAAUCUUGACACCUAAAACAGAUUCAUUAUUAACAGCCCAUCCUGCACAACAAAAUUAUGUAUCAUCUUUGUUUACCAUAAUUGAGAGUGGGUCUUGGUGUCACAGUAAGAGUUCUCCCUUACAAUGUAUCUAGGUGACUAGAAUUUAAGUUACAGGAACAGUCCUUUUGCUAACAAAAAUAAAGUUGCACAUAUCAAUCCUCCCACAACCUAUAUUGGCGGGAGCCUAGUCACUAUGCUACCCAUUUUUUUAUCUUUGUUAUUCAACUUUUCCUUCAACAAUCCUCCCUAAGUAUAGAAGAUUUCCAUCAUUUUUCUUUAUUUUGUUCCCAACUGAAUUUAGUCUCAAGCUAGAAUGUAAUGUCCAAAUGUCUAGUUUCUUAUUGUCGUGAUAUCAACAAUUUGAUAUUAUUUCCAUCUUUAACAAUAUGCUUCAAGUAGUAAACCAAAUCCUUACCUCCAAAUACUAGCUUCUUUACCCACUGAAGCGCUAUUUGAUGUAAACGAUACAGGUCUAGUUAUCAGGGAAGCCAGAUGUUAUGUAUGCAUCGUGACUUUUCUAAUGGCACGAUAAAACACAUAACUAAACUCAAGCCUCUCCAGAAUAAGAAUAGACAAAAUCCUAAUCUGUGGCUGCAGAAAAAUUCAACUGUCAGUUUCAGCUGAAACUAAUGUGUUGUUCAGAAAAUUUUCUGAAUAUUGUCACCCUUAAUUUUAUAGAAAAUUGUAAAAGUUUUGCUGAAAUCUGAAAGCCAACCUAAAACCAUUGAAACCACAAGAAGUCUCUGAAAUUUCUAAUGACCUGGACAAAUUGAUAACAAAAGUUUAACAAGAAAUCCUUCAGACAAAGUGGAUGAAAGAAGCAACAAUAAGUAUUCUUAGAAACCACCUACAGCAAGUUUUUGUAGAUAAAUUAUAGCAGCUACAGAUGGAACCAAGUGCUUGCAAAGUAGCCAAACAAGCUUAACGGAUGUAAUUAACUACAAAUCUAUCAGAAUGCUCCCCUAAUAGCUAAUUUGCAAAAUCUAAAAUUCCCAAAUCUGAGAUAAAUUUUGCUUAUGUUCAGUGUUCGAUAGAUGAUGAAAACCCAUGAAGGCUUGUCCCUAAUCUUUGGAGAUAGCUCACAAUUCCCAACACACAAAAGUAAAAUGCACCCUACGAAGAUCCAUCAGUAAGCUGGCAGUACUUUCUUGCUUGAUGCCUACAUGGAGCCAUCGACACUUGUACCGAAGAAGACAAAUAAUUUUGGUUAUAGCAAUGCUGGGAUUUCCCAAGUCAAGAAAUGCUUUAAACACAAACGAUGUACAUCUCUUAGCUCAUCCCCAAUUUCCAAAUGCUACCCAAGCUUAACAACAUAUACAAAAUGCGCAAAUGAUCGAAUGCAAUUCUCGCAAAAGACCAAGCGUACAACAAAAUGCAAGAGCAGAUCACCGGUUAUCGAGCAAGCAAACUCACGGAUUAAUGGGCCUUGCUUCUCCGCUCCGGGCCAGCUUGCGGUUGCUUGUCGGUGGCUAAUCUGUAGAUCCAAUAAACCUGAGAGGAACAAACACGUAUGAAGGGCUGGAAAGGGGCAAAUCGAAGAGGAGAGGGAGGAAGAGUGGCGGUUGAUUACCAGGGCGAAGACAUGGGCGGCGAUGAGGAGGAUGACGAUGGCGGGGAGGAGAAAGUCGAGAAUCCACGGCCGGGGGAUCGGGUGCUGUUCGCCCGCCAUCGAGGGGCAGUAUUGUAGUGUCUGCCGCGACGGAAGAACCGAGGAGACCAAGAGAAACAGACGCCACUUCACUUUCCUCUCUUGUGCUGCUCCACAAUAUGUUUUUGGUUUUAGAAACAGAAGCCCGAAAACAAACUUGAUUGACAUUUUAUCGGAUAUAAUCAGAGUAUAUAUAUCUGAUAAAAUAAAGUUAUAUAUAUAUAAUAAUUUAACUAAGUUAAUUUGAUUGUAACAGAAAUGUUUUAAUCCUAAUUGACAUGUUAUCUGUAAAAAGAUUUGUUGCCAUAUGUAUCCACUCAACCGAGUGGCGUCAAACGCCAUGAACUGAUAUAUAUAUAUAUAUAUAUAUAUAUAUAUACAUAUUUUUAAAAUUAAUAUAACGUCUCAUUAAUAGUAUUUAUACUCAGAAAAUAUAUUAAUCAAGUUGAAAGCUCGAUAUCUAAUAUAUUUACUUACCAAGGGUUAAGAAUUUAAAACCGAUAUAUUUUUAUACUUAAAAUAUUAAUAUAUUAAUAAUAUAUCAGCACUAUUAAUCAAAUCUUAAUGAUCGAGUUAAGUUGGUUAGCUUUAAAGAUGUUUGUAUAUCAUCAUAAGAUCUUGAGUUUGAAUUUUAUUUUUAUUAUUUAUCUUUUGUUCAAAAAAAAUUAUCUUUAUUAUUUAUGAAAUGUUAGACAUCUCAUUUUAAAUUUUUUUAAAAUUUAAAAUAAUGAUAUUUUAGUAUAUAUGAAUUAAGAAUAUGAAAUCUCAUCCGAUAAAUCGUUUUAGAAGUUUUUUUUGUGUGAAAAACAAAAGAUUUACAAAAGUUCCAUUACUGAUUUAAAAUCUAAAAGUAAAUAAAAGGCUGGUGAAGGGUUGACGAUCAGUAGAUCUACAGAGCCCUUAAGCAUUCUGCGUUGGUUGCCCGACCUAUGAUUUAGGACGUGAGCAUUAAAUAUCAAUAGAUGGUCCAUUAAUGGCUAAUCAUCAAGUCAAUUGACCCUACACACCUUUAAAUAGCCAUUAAUUUUCGGCACAUUUUCUUGUGUGGUUUACUUUUUACCAUAAAAAGGACCCAAAAUGUACAAAGAUUUCAGGCAAACAUUCCCAAUAUCAUAAUUCUAAAUAUCAUCAUCCAUAGAAUUUUAUAAGUCAACAUUGAUCGUGUGAAUCUACACAUCUUUAAAUAGCCAUUAAUUUUUUUUCUUUGUGACCUAUCUUACCAUUAAAAGUAUUUCAGCCAAACAUUCCCAAUAUCUUAAUUUUAAUGUUUUAUAAAUCAAUAUAUGAUGUGAAUUUCAUAUGUUCAAAAAUUAUUCGUCUUACAUAUGUCAAUAUAAUUUUAUUCUUUCGAAACUUGGUUUCGUAUUUCUCAAUCAACUCGGCUUACAAAAAUUAUUCGGCUUUUAAGGAUAAAGGUGAUCCGAUAAAUUCAUAAGCUCUUGGUUUCGUAUUUCUCAAUCAACGUGGGACUAAAUGUCUUUAUUAGAUUCACGCUAAAAGAAAAACCAUGAGCCGACUCCUCUUAGGGGGAAGUACUGAUAAAAACAUUUAGUCUCUUGAUUGAGUAGGAGAAUCAAGGGCUUAUAAGUCUACCGGGUCACUCUUACCCUCAAAGUUAUCUUUUGGAACUCACGAGACUUAAAAGGAUAAAAUCGUAUGAGCAUACCCAAAAUAAAUAAUUUCUCAAGAACCUACGGGACUGUGUUAAUGACGAUCAAAUAUAUCAACUUAUUAGAUUGGUGCUAGAAUGAGGGUUAUGAGCUCUAGGAUCCUUGAGUACUAAUAAAGAUAUUUAGUUUCACGUUGGUUGAGAAGUAGCAAAACGAAGGGGGCUUAUAAGACUGUUGGAUCACUGUUAUCCUCAAAGGUUUUUUUUUAAACUCACAAGUCUUGAAAUAACAAAAUCGUAUGAGUAUACUCAAAACGAAUAAUUCUUCAUGAGCCUACGAGAUCAGACUAAUGAUGACCAAAUAUUAACUUAUCAAAUUAGUACUAGAAUGAGAGCCGGAAGCUCUUGCCUCUCUUAGGGGGAGUACUACGUCGGGUCACAUUUACUUUCAGAGAUAUUUUUCGGGGCUUGUAAGGUAAAAUCGUAUAGAUAUACUCAAAACGAAUAAUUCCUUCGGAGCCUAUAAGAUCAUAUCAAUAACAACCAAAUACUUGACUUAUUAGAAUUCAUAAAUCAUACAUCCCUAAAAUCCUCAACAAAUACAUGAGUUAGAAUUUAAAUGAGGUUUUUAAAAGAUCAUGGAUUCCAAUAAGCAUAAUAUAGGCUUUUCACUAAAGAAACCUAACAUGCUAAUUUAGACCGGCAAGUGAAGUUAAAAAAUUUCGAACACGUGCAUCCAUUGGCAACAAAUUUUCAAACCGUAUAUGAAAUUAAGAACUAAAAUAAAGCUUCCAAUCUUCGUUGGUUUUAUGUCCAUGAUGACGUUUUAGUAAUUUGACUAUAUAUUUAAUUCAUUUCUUAUGAAAAUGAUUGUAUGUAAGUUAUAAGACAUUAGCUAUAAUAAAAAUGUGUGCUCUCUAUCUAUAAAGAAUAGAAUCGUCAAUUCGAAGACGUGAAGUGAUAGAAAAGAAAUAUUAUAAUUGAGAUAUCGAGAAUCAUUUAUUAUUUUAGGUUGACCUAUUUUUCUUGUAGGACCUCCAUGUCAUCAUUGCUGUGAAGUUUAACGACAGGCUAAAAAGAAAUUAUAGUUCCUCCUCCUAUGUUGCCCCCUACGUUGUCAAAAAUAUGGAACCAAACCAAAAAUAUUGGCUAGUGCUUAUGAAAUUUCAUUUUUGAUUGGAAGAGACAAAAACAAAUCUGAACUUGUUAUAUGUUAUCCAAUGUUUAAACACUGGAAAUAGAAUUGAUUACAUCAAAACAAGGUUCAAAUCUCUUGAUUUAUUAGGAUGUCGCAGAUGCAUGUAUCUUUAUAUUUAUUGUAAUGAUAAAUAACUGUUAUAAUUAUAGUAACAUUAUAUAAAUAGGAAUUAAUCUUAAUAAUAAUUAAUUAAUAAAUUUAUAGUGGAUUAGGUAUAGGAUAAUAUUUUAUAACAUGAAUAGAAUAUUCCCUCAUAGAUAUAAUAAUAUUAUUAUUAUAAUGCUUAUGUGGCUGUCACACGGUGUGGGCCUCACCCUCUCUGUUGAUCGGGCAACCAUAUGACACAUAAAGCUGUGCACGUGCGCAUAGGUCGUCUACUUGCUACAAUUAUCUUUUCGUUAAUAUAGCAUAUUUAAUUCCUAUAAAUUUCAAUAUAUCAUAUAUUUCCUCCAAAUAUUUUAAUUUUCAUACACACCAAUAUAUAUAUAUAUAUUAAAUAUCGUUGUGAAGGUUAUUUUUUUUAACUUUAUGAUUAUAUACAAAAAAACAUUACCAGUCUCUACGGAGGACAUAUAUAUUAAAUUAAUAUUCAUAGGGAAAAAAUGAAAAAAUGCAUCAUUUAGACGAAUAGAAUUUGCAAUUUUCUGGUCUAGACGCUAAAUUUAGCUUACGACGGGGUGUAAAUGAGAAAGUACUCUGAAGGAUCAACAACAUCGGAACGGAUUCGGUACAAGCGAUCACGAUCCGUCCUCGGCAGCAGCUCACUCGCUCUCGCGCUCACUUUCCGUUGCUCGUUUUCGAUCAUGGCCUACGAAGGUGUUCUCUUGGGGAUGGGGAAUCCCCUCCUCGACAUAUCCGCCGUUGUCGAUGAGGAAUUCCUCAACAAGUAUGUCCAGUCCUUCACCGAUCCCGUUUCUCUUUCCCUGUUCUUGGUUUUCUGAUGUUUAGAUCUCACUUUCUGGCCUGUUCUUCGUCGCCGGCGUGUGGAUUCGUGUCCUUGUUUUUUUUUCUGGUUCAGUGAUCUGUUUUAGGCUCCGGGUUUCUGCUUGAGCGCGUUGAGGUCUUAAAAGUUGGCUUUUCUCUGGAGAAACGGUGAAGCUUAGAUCGUUUUACUUGGAUCAGUGGUUGAUGAUGAGAUCGGAUUUGGUUUCUUCUUUAGAUCUGAGCUUGUGGAAAUGAAGCUUGGGUCGUGGGAUCAGAACAACUGCUUGUAUUUAUACUGCUGCUGUUCCAUGCUGACAGAUCCUGUUUCUUACCGAUUUUGAAAGCAUAUGCUUAUUGAUUGAAGUUAGUCGUUGUCUGAGGUCACAUCUUAUAGAUUCGAAUUUUUGGAUUGCAUUGGAUGACUUUGAAGUAAUCUGAGCUGAUUAUUUCCUGCAUUUAUUUUAGAUUAUUGUGGAUCUGUUUGUCGCUUCCAUGUCCAAUAUGUAAAGCAUGCGAAACUAAUGAUACUUUUUCGUAAUGCACGAAUCAUGACUGGUUGAAGUGUUUCUUGGACUGUAGAUACUUUAUGUAAUGUAUGCUUCUCUUUGUGGGAUUAAUCAAGUGUUGGUACAUUGCUGUAGAACCAGUUACAUUCCUAUAUUUUAUCGUUUGGUUAUGCAUCAAAGGAGCAUACAAGAAUAACUGAUGAUGCUUUCUGACGCACCUCAUUGUUGUGGCAUACAAUUCAUCUUUGCUGUUAACAUGUUUCGGAAUAGUUUUUGGUGUUACUUGUAAUUUUUCUACAUUGUAGAACUAUAUAUAUAUAUAUAUUAACAGUUCCUUGUGCAACUACAGUCCCCUGCUAUGUCAAAGUCAGAAAACUAAAACACAAAUGCGAUAGAGAUUGUACAUGCAACAACAAACAUUUCUAGGAGCAACUCAGUAUGUUCUGAAAUAAAUUGGAUCAAAUAUCAAUCAAGAAUAUUAGAUGCAUUAACGAUAAUGCAUAUGGCUUUCUUAAGGCAAACUCUUGUUCAGGAUUGGUCAAAAAUAAAUUAUUUGGAUAGUAUCAAGUUAGGCUGGGUAAAAUAAAUCAGAUAAAAGUUUAAAUAAUUUAAUCCGGCAUAAAAUAACCCAUUUAUAGAGCCGAGUGAAAAUUGUUUUAGCAACUAAAAAGAAAAGAGCAUUAAAGGUAAUUGGUUGGGUUAGGAUAGAUUAUAAGACUGAUAUUUCAACCCCAAUUCAUAGGAUUUUAUUUCUUUGGAAUUGUAACUCUUUACUUUAUGACAGUUCUUCUUGAACUCAGCUUUUUGAAAGAUUUUAUUCUUAUGGUGGUUUGUGUCCUUUACUUUCCCUUUCGCUUAAAAGCUGAACUUGGCUAAUGUAUUUCUUAAAUGUCAUAUCAAUAGAUGAUAAAGAUCAGACUAUCGCUUUGGUUGUACAUAUUGCUUCAGAAGUGUUACUUACCUUUUUGUGUUUGCCAGAUAUGAUCUCAAGCCAAACAAUGCAAUUCUUGCGGAGGAAAAGCAUUUGUCAUUGUAAGUUUUGUCAUUGCUGUCUGGUAAGUCAUAUUACCCUGUGCAGCACAAGACAAUUUCUCCUGCCUUUAUUUUUUGGGUGGCUUUUGGUCUUGCAGUGACAUCAGCACUCAAUUGUUUGGUUUUUGUUAUAGAUAUUAUUUUUUCAUUUGCUUUCCAACUUUGAUCUUUUUCUUGUCUGAAAUAUUUGAUAGCCAAUUUAUUCCUUAUUUUACCAGGUAUGAUGAAUUAGCUGCAAAAUACAAUGUCGAAUACAUUGCUGGAGGUAGCAUUUGGGUUGGAGUUGACUAAGUUAAGUUAAUUCAGUUAACUAUUAGUGUAUAAUCUGAUUUUGUGCUAUUUUGAUUUGGUCAGGGGCCACACAGAAUACAAUAAGGGUUGCGCAGGUACUCUUUGCUUUGUUUUCAGAAAUUAUCUUCUAUCAAUAGGUUGAAUAACAAUGGUAUUUAGCUAAUCACAAAUUGAUUCUGUAGUGGAUGCUUCAAAUUCCCGGUGCAACUAGCUAUAUGGGUUGCAUUGGAAAGGAUAAAUUUGGAGAGGAAAUGAAGAAGAAUGCAGCCGUUGCAGGCGUUAAUGUAGGUCUACUUUUUAUAUCCUUUUUUGUAUAGCAUUCUCUUUACACUGACAUGGUUAAAUAUCUUUAUAAAACCUCAGUGGAAUGUGUAUAAUUAACUCACUUGUAACACUGUUCCCUAAAAAGGUGGAAUUUGUCAUUUAAUGAAUCAACUUUUCCUCUUGGAUGUUUGACCUAGUGGGUACACGAAGCACUACUUCUUAUUCUGAGUAAAGCUAACAUUUUUUUCUUAUAAUUCCAUGCCAUGGAUUUAAGUUGUGGUGGCCCAGACCUGGAAGUACUGGUUGGCCGCUGGAAAAAUUGAUGCUGAUGUUUUAACAUCUGUCAACAACACUAAAGGGAACAAAUAAAGGGGGAAAGAAGGAAAGUGAUAUUUUCUGAGAAAUUGAGAAAUUAACCUUCUCAUGACUGGAUCUGAUUUGGUCUACCAAUUCCUUAAUUUUUUUCAAAGAAAUAGAGAAUUAGAGAAAUAAAUUUUUGCUAAGCUUUUCUAUGGCCAAUGGUUGCAUUAUCUUGUUGAGCUUGUUGGGAGGAAUUAAAGCAAUAGCAUCCAUGAGCAGGAAUUAAACUAUCGUGUAUCCAUUAAGUUUGAUACAGUUUGUGUCAGUUGAAGUUGGUCCAUUUUGUUUCACAGCUUAGUAUUGUUUAUUCGAGAAAUUUCUUAAACAAGGAAGUAUUACAGAAAAAUGUGCAUCCUAAGUUUUGUAUGUUGAUUAAAAUGAUACACGAUAGUUGAUGAGUCGAACUCGCCAACACUUUAAACAAUCUUAAAUGCUAUUUUUCCCUUGAUCAAACAGGCUCAUUAUUAUGAGGAUGAAACAGCCCUGACUGGUACAUGUGCUGUAUGUGUUGUUGGUGGUGAAAGGUAAGUUUGCUGACGAUCAUUCUUUCCUUAUUUUUGUUUAAUUUUCUUGCUGAUAAAUAAUUACUUCCAAAUGUUUGUUAUCAAAUUUUACUGUAUAAAUACAUAAUUUCUUUGUAUCUUAAGUUUUGGAUUCAAAAAGUUUAUAAUCAUAAAAGCGAUGGAUAUAGCAAUUGUUCCUGUAGACGCAAUCUGAAAUAUAGUUUUUUGAAUAAACUGAAAUAUAAUUGUAUGAGAUCAUUCAAGUAAACCUAGAGAAUAAAGGUAUGGUCCUGCAGACAGGGAUACCAGCCUGCAUUAAGGUGAAUAAAGUUGGUUAAGUUGUGAAAUAAUAAAAUCUGAGUGUGGAUAUCCAUAGUCAAGCAACUUUGGUUAUUUUCAUAGUUCAUUUUUUCUUUUCCUUUGAAUUUUAGUAUAAGAGGCAAGGAAUAUUUGUUAUUCAUUUAUGAUAUGAUGCAAGUGAAAAUGAAUUUCAUGAUCACUUAUCUUAGUGAAACAUGGGAUCAUUAACCCAUUUGUGGUUUUCUGACCACUUUGAGACAUUUGUUCAUCUAGACAGUUUUUAUAAUCAUUCCUGCCAUAUUUUAUUGUGGUUAGCAUUUAAUUUUCUUGCUGUAAGUCCUAGAAUCCCGCAUUUCUGUCACAAACAAAGUGGUCGCAGAUAUGUCAGCUUUCUUGCAAAAAAGUGUUGUUGUCUAUAACCAGACCCUGUUAUGUAAGAUAUGUACAUCUAAACAUUGGACUUCUUUUGAAAUAAAAGAAAUAAUAUUUGCAGCUUCUUUUGUCAAGUUCCAUAACUAAAUCUUUUGUAGAUUAGUAUCAUGAAAAUAAGCUUUCUUGUUACCUAACCGCAAUUGCUAAAUCUUUCUGUUUCUAUUCUCCUCAUCUGAGGCUGUUCAUUGUAAGAUCAUCUUGAUUUAGCAGGAUAUCCAUCUGUUUCAUUGAAUUUGAUCCAUUUAUUUCAUUUUGUUGUAUUGAUCAUUUGCCAUAUUUUUCUUUCAUUUAUGAGCAGGUCCCUAGUUGCUAACUUAUCUGCAGCAAACUGCUAUAAAAUUGAUCAUCUGAAGAGACCAGAAAACUGGCAAUUAGGUAACAUAAUUACAUUGUCCUUCUUUGGUUCAAUUUUUUAUUCCGAGCAUAAGUUCUUAAUAAAAAUGUAAUAAGGGUGACAAGCUUGUUGUUAUUGAGAAAUUAGGCCUUGAUAUUGAUAUUCCUAGUUGUAAUGUGGCUAAAGUAUUUGGUCACUUUCUAUUUUGUUAUAUUAGAGGGUAUACUGCCUAAAAACAAACUUGGCAUUUAUCUGAUACAUGAUGUUUUCAAGGAUGUGGCAUUCUUGUUGCAUCUAAAAGAAGCUAUAUCAAGAAGAUUUUUGGUAAAUGGUGACCGUCAUUGUUGCAUCAAUUGUCCAAGAAGAGGAGACAUUCCUGUAGGUCCUUGUACAGUUUCACAUUUAUGGACAAGUUUUGUGACAAAAUGUUGGGGAGCUUUCUGGUUUGCAAUCUAUAUGUUAUUAUGUUUUGAAGUUUCCAAGGAAGAUAAUGCUGAUGGACUUUUCAGUUGCACAGAUAAGUAGACGAAGAAAACAAAGUAAUACGGUUGUGCCGAUGAAAAAAGUGAAGGAAUAUGGAUAGAAUAUAAAUCCAAUAGAAAAUUGAUGUAGAACAAGGUAGAGAAAUAGAGAGAGUAAAAGAGGAAUAAGAUUAGAGAUUAAAGAGGAGAUAGAGAGAGGAAUGAGAUUAGAGAGGAGAGAGAGACUAGAAGAGAGAAGAUGUAUUUUUUUUCAUUUAAAUUUAAACUCAUCCAUUGACAAACUCCAAUAUUUAUAGGGGUUUAGAAUCUUAGUAUAAACAAUGAAGACAAUGAUUCCUAAGAGUAAUCUCCUAGAGAAAGAAUUAGGAUGCAUUUAAGAAAUCCAAAUUGCGACUUUUAAGAUAAAUAGUAAAUGAGUGCACUUAAUAUAAAAGAAGUCCCUAGAAAAACCAAAAAGACAUUUCAAUUUGCAAAACAACUCUUAGAAUUUCUAGGCCAACUAAUUGAUAACUUCUUAGUUAUUUCUUUACCUAAAAUAAUUUUUUUUGAAAUUCUUUGUAAAGCUAAUGGUUCUCUAUCAUUCUUCCUCAGUGGAAAACAAUGCAACCCCGGAGAGUGAUCUGUAAGGUAUUGGUUCAAUAAAUUUGGUGCACAAUCAUAAAGUUCCUCCAAAGUAAUCCAAGACUCCAAGUGACAUCAAAAGUUGAAGAAUCAUGCCACUUGACAAGAAAGUGUUGAGUAAUGCUAGUAACAGACAUAACAAGGUGGUCAUUAAGAAUGACCUCUACGUCAUCCUUGUAUUGUGAGAGAAUUGGUGUUUUGGAAUGAUUGUCACCUGUAGAAACACAAAUGGACAGACAAGGAGGCUCGAAAGUACCAUAAUAUAGAGUUAAAUCCUCCACAUUGAAAACUGGACUAAUAUUUAAGUCUGAAGGCAAAUCGAGCAUAUAUGUAUUAGAUCCCGGUUUUUGGAUAAUGGGGAAAAGAUGAAUGGCUCGAACAUGCAAAUUUUUGAAUGAUUUUUUAGAGAAUUUCUUAGGGUGAACACGAACUAAGAUAUAAUCGCCAACUUGAAACUUUUGACUUUUAUGAUGUGCAUUAGCAACAAGUUUGUAACUUUCGUUACUUAGGGCAAUUUUACAUCGAAUUUCAGCAUACAAAUCAUGAAUAUGUUUAGCGAAGGAGUGAGCUAGUUAUGAGGCAUGAUAGUCAAGUGAAAGGGGUGCAAGGUCAAUGAGGGUACGAGGAAUAUAGCUGAGGGCAGUUUAAAAUGGGCUUUUUUUGAUGGAGCGGUCGAUUGAGUUAUUAUAUAUAAAUUCUGCAAUAGGUAAGGUUAAGACCUAGUUUCUAGGUUUCUCCCCAACUAAACAUCUAAGAAGAUUUUUUAAGAAACGAUCAACAACCUCAGUUUGACCUUUAGUCUGGGGUGAAAAGUUGAAAAGAAUUUCAUUGUUGUGCCAAAUAGUUUCCACAAAGUUUUACAAAAGUAGCUAACAAAUUUCACAUCCCUAUUGGACACCAUGAUUAAGGGAAAACCAUGUAAUAUAACUACUUCUCGAAAGAACAAUUUAGCAAUGUGCGAGGCAUCAUUGGUCUUGUUACAUAGGAUAAAGUGGGUCAUUUUUGAAAAUCGAUCAACAAGAAUCAAAAUAGAGUCAUGACCACAGGCUAUUUUGGAAAGUCCAAGGAUAAAAUCUAAACUCACAUCUUGCCAUGGUGAAUGCAGAAUAGGCAAUGUGGUGUAUAGGCUAGUAUCGUGGUUGCGAGUUUUGGCAAUUUGACAGGUGCAACACUACGACACCACUUGAGCAACAUCUCACUUUAAGGAAGGCUAGUAAAAUCUAUCCUUGACCAAUACAAUGGUCUUAUCUCGACCUUAAUGACUUGCUAAACCAUCGGAGUGCAUUUCCUAAACGAGGAAGUCUCAAAGGGGGGAUUGAAUAACACACAAUUUAGUAGAUCGAAAAAGGUAACCAUCCCUAAGAAUGAAGUUUGUAUGUUUAUGAUGGUUUCCAUCUUGGACUUUUUGAUAUAUGUGACUAAAGUUUAGACAUUGGGUAUACUCUUCUUUUAAUUGCUUAAAUCCUAUGACAUUGACACUCGUGAUAGAUAGGAGUAUAGAAAUUCUAUUGAGAGCAUCAACAGCUUUGUUUUGAGUGCUAAAACAAUGCUAUAGUUUUAGCUAAAGGGGAGAGAGAGAGUGAUAAAUAGGAAAAAAAAAAAAAAAAAAAAAAAGGAAGAAAACAUGGGGAGAAGCGAUGAAAACCAUGAUCUAAUGAAAUAUACGAAUUUUCUUUUCAACAAAAAAAUUAGUAAAGAUUUUGAAAAUUUACCCGACACUAAGAGUUAUGUGGUCCACCAAUUUUGUAGGGACAAUCACCCCAAAGUCCAACUGCACACACUAGGGAUUGACAUUGGAGGUGCAAGGACCCCAAAGUCCAACUGCACACACUACCCAAUGUAUAAGAUUAGAUAAUUCUACUACUAUUUGGGGUUAAGUAUUUUGGGUACAUGAUUUUAUUUUAUCAAAUAGUUUUGGGUUCAUUAACUCUCUCCAGACCUUGCAUUGGCAAGACCCUUGUACUGAGUACGUCCAUUUUUUUUUUAAUUUUGGGUACAUUAUUUUAGACUCAUUAUGUUUUGACUUUUGAUUGUAUUAAUUGGUAUCAAAGUAAAUGUAUUACUAGAUAUCAUGAGAGCAUACAUAGAAAAGAAUUAUCCGUGUGCGGGAUUAGAAGUACAUCACAAUAUAGAGCUACGACUCUGUUCGGCAUUACACAUGUUGCCGGUGCUAUGUGCUAAGCCUUUGAGUUUUGAUGAGCAUGCCAAAUGAUGGGAAAAUUUGUCAAGAGUGGGAGGAUGUUAUGCCGGUUUAUAUGGCUAAAUGAAUCUACUAUCGUUAAGUUGGGUUUAAGCAUUUUUCUCAUCAAGUGAUUUUAGACAUCAAAUUAACAAUUAGUUUUUAUAUUGGUCUAGAUUGUAACAUUUAUCAAAUGUGUGGAUCUUCUCUCAUAACAAAGAUCAAUUUCAUAAUGCAUUGUCUUUUUCAAAGAUGUAAAUAUGGUUCUAAAAUUUGAUACUAGUAGUUGGUCAGACUAGUAUUAGUACUAAGAUACUGAGCAAUAUACUGACCUAUUUUCCCAAAUUACUGAAAAAUAAAAAUUAUAAAAUAACAGUAUCUGACUCAUUGAGCUGUAUGUUCUAUUGGUGGUUCUCGAUUGGACUGGUGAACAUCGGUUGGUACGUACUAAUCCUAUUGGCUCUUUAAAAUAAAGACUAUUCAUAGAUUACAGUAAAAUUGGAUAUGGUUGAAAAACUGCCACAUUUUUGUCACAGAUUAUUUUUUUUACUGAUUUCUGAAAUUCAAAUUGAGAAUGCUGAAGUUAUCAAACUGGGUUUUCUUUGGUCUAACUAUUAAGUUGUAUGCAAUUUGACAGUUGAAAAGGCAAAGUACAUUUACAUAGCUGGCUUUUUCCUAACGGUGUCUCCUGAUUCCAUCCAACUUGUAGCUGAGCAUGCUGCUGCAAAGAAUAAGGUAUAACUGUAUGAGUUCUUCUUGACUUAAACCUUUUACUUUUUCCACUUGUGGGAUUUUGUUCCAAUUCUAUGUAACUUGCAGGUCUUUAUGAUGAACCUCUCUGCUCCUUUUAUCUGUGAAUUCUUCCGAGAUGCCCAGGACAAAGCUCUGCAGUGAGUGUUCUAUUUUCUUCUCCUUUGUACUCUCAAAAGGUAUUUCUAAACCACAUUGUUCACUGAUAAUAAUUUUCUAUUUCAUCCUUUUACAAAAUAGUGGCUUUUAUCAACCUACAAGUCUUUCUGUUUAAUUGUGGUCAUGGCAGGAAUGGCUAAAGGCAACUACCCGCUUUUCUAUUUUAUUUGGCCUCACUUUAUUAAUAUUCAACUUACAUGAAAAAUAUUCGCAAUCUCAGUUAUGUGGAUUUUGUCUUUGGUAAUGAAACCGAAGCGAGGACCUUUGCAAGAGUCCAUGGAUGGGAGGUAAUUGUCUUCCCUCCCUAUUGUAUGUAACAGCUUGUUGUAUUAGACUUUCUGACCGGUUAUUAUGAUGCUUAGACAGGAAAUGUUGAGGAGAUUGCAGUAAAGAUCUCAGCUCUGCCCAAGGCAUCAAAGACACAUAACAGAAUUACUGUCAUCACACAGGGUUGUGAUCCAGUUGUUGUUGCUGCUGAUGGAAAGGUGAGUCUGGUUAGGUUUUUCUGUAUGACCUUUCCAUGAACUUCAAAUGACUAAAGGAUUUAUAUGAUGAAACACCAUGUUUGCAUCUCUCAUAUACUAUCGAGUUACAAAUAAGUUAACAAGCUUCAGAAUAGGCUCUGUUUCUCAUGAUGACACUUUUGGUAUUACUGUAGACAUCUUGAUACACUUUGUAACAGACUUCCAUCUAUUUUCUAUUUUAACCCUUAAAAGAUUCCAGAACUUCUUCCGGGACUUCCUUGUAUCUUACUGAGACAUGUCCGUUUCAUUCACUGGUUCUUUCUUGCUUGUUGCAACUUCCAUGAAUUUUUUCUGAUAUAGUCAUCCCUUGGUUUAUUCUUUUGACUGCUAGGAACAGACAUCAUUUUUAUCUCUCACUUUGAUGUUGAUUUUUCUUUCUCAUAUCUCCCCAUUGAGGACAUAUUGUGUCAUCUAAUUUUGUCUUACUGGUGUUGCAAAAAAUAUCUUUACAAAUUACUCGACAUACAUAAUAUGAAGGGAAAUUUAAUUAUGCUUAGCCUUAUGGUAUUUUGCCUGCAAUUUGUAGUUUGAAUCACAAAUUACUGAUAGACUUUUUUGAUCAUUGCUUUAUCUGAGCAAACUGAUGUGUAUCUUUUUCAUGGAACCUUGGCAUCAGGUGAGAUUGUUCCCUGUUAUCUUGUUACCAAAAGAAAAGCUUGUCGAUACCAAUGGCGCAGGUACUUCAAAGCUAUUGUUGUUGUUAACUAAUGACAAAUUUCUAAUCGGUGUCCAACUUGAAGAGCUUAUGGCACAACACCAUUGGGAUAUUAUUUAGGAUUUAUUAGCAUAAGUUGUGCGUUAGAAUUCUCGGUUCUUCUGUAUCAUUCUACAUUGGUCCAUUAUUGCCACUGUUCGACUUAUUGGCCAUGCACUUCUUAAUGAAGGUGAUGCAUUUGUUGGAGGAUUUCUGUCUCAACUGGUCCAAGAGAAGAGCAUAGAUGACUGUGUAAAAGCUGGGUGUUAUGCGGCAAAUGUCAUAAUCCAAAGGUCAGGCUGCACCUACCCAGAGAAGCCAGAUUUCCGGUAAAAAGAAAACCACGAUGUCACGGUGAGGAUUUGUCAAGAUCAGGCCAUCUUAUCCUUCAUAUUAAUUAGCCAUUUGCUGCUACGUUGUCUCUUCAAUGUUUUGGGGCUUUUCCACUUGAGAAAGUAUUACUUUCAACAUCGCAUGGUGUAGGUGGAUUUCUCCAAAUGUUUACUCGUGAAUUGUUGCUGUGAGAACUACUUUGCCACAAAGGAUGCUGCUCAUGUUACUGGCGUUGGAAAACAUCCAUCGGGACCUCAACAUGUUAUUGGAGAUCUAAUUUGCCCGUGCACCUUAUUGGCAUUGCAUAAGAGACUUCCUCAUCUAUCAUCUUGGUUGCAUGUUGUUUGAGUAAUCUAUUAUGCUAACUCAUCUAUCAUCUUGGUUGCAUGUUGUUUGAGUAAUCUAUUAUGCUAAACAUUCCAAUUAAAAUCUAAACUGUCGUAUAUAAGGGUUAGUAUAGCUUGCCUUUUGAUGAUAUUAUUGAAUCGUAAAACUUUUGUAGAUCUGCACAAAAUUAUUAGUUCUUUCUUAUCUUUCUUACCUUUUACAGUAUAAUGAUAGUAUUGGAGAUUGAUGACAUGAGAGUCUUUCCUAAUAAUUUUUCAAGAUUGGCAGGGCAUUAAUUUUCCAAGAAUCUAAUUAAAUCUCUAAUUUUUUUUAAUCUUAAGUUAUAGGGUAACGAAAUCACAUGUAUCGUCCUCAUGAUCCAUUGCAUCUAACUUCUCAUUUACUUUAAGGUUUUUCUGUAGGAGUGAUUGUUUUAAAAUAGGAAGAUAUAGUUGAGAAACCUUGUGCCAGUAUCAGAACCGAUGUUCGAUUUCCUAAAACCUGAAACUGGCAGUUCCAAUUUCGAUUCCGGCUCUGUUGACUUCUGGUCUAGUUCGAAUCAUUAUCUUUUUAAUUAAAAUUUUAUUUAAAAAUAUUAAAAUAUUUAUAAUUUUAUUUCUAAAAUUUGAAAAUAAAAAUGAAUGUAUAAUUACAAUGAUUGUACUUAUAUAAAAAAAAUUAAUAUAAAAAUGAGUAAAAUUAUUUAAAAAAAUUAUUUGCUUUCCGUAUCGAAUGUUUCGAUCAUCCCUUCAGUUAUGUCGAAUAGGCAAAUGUUAUCUUCACAUAUUAUCUUCACAUAUAUGUUUGAGGUUUAACUGAUUUGAACAUCAGGAGAAUUUUCAUUUAAGAUGCAUCCUCUCAUGUUGAAAGCUUACUCCACAAUUACUAUUGACAUCGGAGUUACUAGUAUUUGCAUUACAAUCAUCACAAAAUUAGAAACUCUAUACCUAUAAUAUUAUCACCAAACUCAAAAAAAAAAAUUGUUUGAUAUAUACCGAGCUCACAGUUUGAGCUUGAUUUAUUUUGUCUUUGUAAUAAUAAUUUUCUUCCCUAUAAAUUUUACUACCCUAAUAAUUUGAUCCCUAAAUGGAGAAGUUUGGAGAUAGUUUGUUGUCCAUUAAGGUUACCGAUAUAAUGGUCAUAUAAGUUAAUGACCAUUUUUUUUAUUUCUAUAGUUUUAUUAUUAAUACCAACUUAUACUCCUAAACUUUCAUAAUAAAUAUUAAUUAUUAUCAUUAUAGUCAUAUAUAAAUUAUUAUCAUAUUGAUAUUCUUCUAAAGCACCGUCAAUAUUAAUAUAAAUAAAAAAAAUGAACAAUAGGAUAAUAAACACCAAAUAAAGUAUAGACAGCAUUAUUAAAUAGUUCUAAAUUUUUUUUACAAAGAUUCCAAUAUUAUGGAUAUAAACUAACUUAUUUAACAUUAUUUAUAAUAAAAGUAUAUAAUACUCUUUUAUACUUCAAAGAUUCUGUAAGUAAUUCAUAUAUAGAACUCCAUCGGAUAAGAACAUUCAUAAGAAAUCUUUUGGGUCUAUUACUAUUUAAUUUGUAAAAUCUAACUUGCUCUUUCAUUACAAAAAAUAAGAAAGCUUUAUGAUUUUUUUUUUAAAUGAUAUUAGUAAGGUACCCAAAAAUUUACGUUUGUUUUUGUUUCAUGCCAACUUGUGUUAAAUAUUUCUUCUCGAUAUGCUUAAGAAAAGUUUCAUAUCCUCUUUUUUCUUUGAAUUUAAAAUUUUGAUCACAGUAAUUAUAUAUGACAUGAAAGGAGUUAUAUCUUCUUAAAGUGUAGUUUGAAAAUGUCUGACUUUGUUUAGGUUGCCAUAUCGAAUUUCUCUUAUUCUGCUUGAUGCUGAUGUAUUGGCUUUCUUGGGUUGCUACUAUCAAACUUUCAAAAGGCAAUGGCUCAGUAGUAGUGGCAUCGGAAUCAGGAAGAGAGCCUAAGAGAGAUCAUCUGAGCUCCUUUUGAAGCAGUGGCAUCGGCGGAAUCAGGAAGAGAGCUUAAGAGAAGUAGUGGCAUCGGCGGAAUCAGGAAGAGAGCUUAAGAGAGAGCAUUUGAGCUCCUUUUGAAGCAGUCGCAUCGGCGGAAUCAGGAAGAGAGCUUAAGAGAGAGCAUAUGAGCUCCUUUUGAAGUAGUGGCAUCGGCGGAAUCAGGAAGAGAGCUUAAGAGAGAGAAUAUGAGCUCCUUUUGAAGCAGUGGCAUCGGCGGAAUCAGGAAGAGAGCUUAAGAGAAGUAGUGGCAUCGGCGGAAUCAGGAAGGGAGCUUAAGAGAGAGCAUAUGAGCUCCUUUUGAAGCAGUGGCAUCGGCGGAAUCAGGAAGAGAGCUUAAGAGAAGUAGUGGCAUCGGCGGAAUCAAGAAGAGAGCUUAAGAGAGAGCGUAUGAGUUCCUUUUGAAGUAGUGGCAUCGGCGGAAUCAGGAAGAGAGCUUAAGAGAAGUAGUGGCAUCGGCGGAAUCAGGAAAAGAGCUUAAGAGAGAGCAUAUGAGCUCCUUUUGAAGUAGUGGCAUCGGCGGAAUCGGGAAGAGAACUUAAGAGCGAGCAUAUGAGAGCUAAAUAGUAUAUUACGAGGCUCCCUUUGAACUGGUGGCCUCCACUUAUCAUCGGAAUCGGGAAAAGAGCUUAAUAAGUUGGAGCUAAAUAGUAUAUUAUGAAUAAUAUAUUAUGAAUAAUUAACAAAAUGAGUAGGUUUGAUAGGAUAUUUAUAAGGUUUUCAGAUAUUUUCCUUUCCUAAAAUCAUCCAAAACGUUAUUUGAUUAGAAAGGACAAAUUUUAUUUAUUUUUUUAAUAUUAUAUUAUAUAAUAUUUAUUUAUUUUUUUAUAAAAUAACUUAAAUAUCUUUGAAAAUAACCACUAUAUGAUUGUUGGAAGGGGCGAACCGAUCAUUUGCCCCUCCUUCCUCUCCGGAUUUUGUUGAGUCAGGCAUCGAUCGUUAGGUCGACCGUUCGAGCCUCAACGGUUGGGUCAAGUUCGACGUGGAUCGAUCUAAUUUUAUCAUGUACUCAUCUUAUCUGCUAUCGAACAGUCAACACUUUUUUAUACUUCCAUGCGGUCAAAUAGAUACUUCUUAGGAGAAGUUAGUCCCCAUCUCUUCCAAAAAGUAACGAAUACUUCCACAUCCGGAGAAAAAGAAAAAAAAAGAUUAUUAUUUUUUAUAAUUUUCCGAAUCCAAGAUUACGAGUGCUGCGAGCUACCAAACACUUGCUACUUACGGACGAAGAAAGAUUGGCUGUCGAACGUACACGCUCGAUUCGUCCAUCUCAAUUGGAUGAGCAAUUUUUGCCGUGGAUUAGACACGACAAAAGCUGGAGGUCCGAAGAUUUAACGAGCGCUCCGGAGAUCUACCAUAGUCGACGGCUAACUCGUGAGCCAGUAGAUUUAGUUACCUAGGGAUAAAGAAAACCGAGAAACAGAGACAUGUAGCAUGAGGUCUCGUUUGACAUCGAGACAGAUAGACACUAUGAAACUGUAGACAGUCCCCUUGAUAUUGUUUGUUAAUUUCAGAUUGUAUUAUUGUGUAUCUGUGAGGACCCAAAAGGGGUGUGAAUAGAGAGUAUAGAGAACAAAGAAAAAUGUAAUACUAACAUGUUGAUCAAAUAUCAUAGUGAAUUAAUUAUGCAUAUGAUAUGUGAGUCAAAUAAUAAUAAUAAAUAAGAGUAUAAAAUUAUUGGAAUAAUUAGGGAUCGACGUAUGCAAUAUGAUUUCAUGUAAUAUUAUCCAUAAAUAUAAUUAAUCAUGCAUACGUACUUUAUCCGACAUCCCUACCGCAAAGGAUCAUAUAAUAAGUCAUAUCACAUGCACUAAUGCAACGUCAUACAUGCCAAAUCCAAUUAUUCAUGUGCAUCAUCAAUAGCAAAUAGAGAUACAUUACUCUAACGAAAUGUAGUAGAUAAAUAGAACCCAUAUCAUACUCUCACUAACAAAUAAAGUAUUAUCUCUCAUCAAUCUAAUAAAGACACGUUUCUCCCAACAACAAAUAAAGAAAUCAUCUAUCUAUCAUAGUUGAUAAUCCAUUAAUCCCCAAGAGAAUCACCCUCCAGUAUACUAGAUCUCUUACAAUUGACAGAGUUUAUUUAUAUUUUCUUUUAUCAAAUCAAAAUCACAUGUCAUAACAUUAUCAUACCAUCGCAUGAUCGUAUCAUCAUAUCGAUUAGUCAAACACAAAAUCAUUAGACAGUAGAUCACAUUAGGAGGAUGAUAUAGGGGAUUCGAUCCAAUUAUCUAUCACAUCUAUAGAUAAAUUUUUGUAUAUCAAAAAUGUCUCAAGAGUAUCACGAUGAAUGCAUAUGUGGUAUCCGACAUAUGAGACAAGCCAAUGAUCGCUCUACACCAAUAUAGCGAACUUAUGGGAAUAAUUAAGAAUUGCAUAAUUAAUUUUUGAUCCACUUUUACAAACAUAUUUUUUAGAUGACCAAUAAUAUUCAAAAGGAUAAUUCAAAAAUAAUUUUGAUAGUCAAAAUCUUAAUUUUCAUAUAAUGUCCUAAGACAUCCCACAUUUGAAUAUCAAGAUCGGAUUGAUUAGAUUAAACAUACAUAACUUAAUUUUCAUAUAUUUCUAGGUGCUGGAUGUACGAGUAGAUCAUCCACAAAUUCAUAUAUGUAAAUAAUAUAUGCAUUUGUAGAUGAUCUACUUUCAUUUAAUAUCUUAAAUUAACAUAACUAAGUUUGUAGGAUAGAUCCAAUAGUAAGGUCGUGGGACAGAAUCAACCCCACAUCGGUCAUCAUACUUUCUUUCUCUCUCUUUUUUUUAUUAAUUAAUUAAUUAUAAUGUUACAUUAUUGAUCUUAGAAAAUUAUUAUGAAAAAAAGAAAAAAAAAAAAAAGGGUCAAGAGAGAUCAUCACCACAUCUUUCUUUAUAAAUUUUUAUCAAUCUAUCAUACGUAUUAAAUUGAUUCUCUAAUCAAGAUUAAAUAUCUCUCCGCCACCUUUCUUCGCCUUUCGUCUCACUCCCUUCUUAUGGAGCAUGCUUGGGGACGAAAAUGAAGGUGAGCACACCCCACCGCACAAUCUUGUCUUCCGCUGGUCUUUCCAUCGCUUUAAACCAGGGAACGCAUGCGUGUCAGUUGUUGCUGACUCACCAGAGAAAGAUGGCCGGUGUCACAAUAUAACAAUAUAUUAAUUAUUAGGAUGAGUGUCAAAUAAGUGGCACGAGAAGCAAAGUUCAGAUUGCAAGAGGUGUAAAAAUAAAAUCUAUAAUUAUAUUAUAUCUGAAAUGUAAAAAUAACUUGUAUGUCGGAAUUGAAAUCAAGUGUAUAAAUCUAAUUAUUACGAUACAUACCUUUUGAUGUCAUCUCUUCAGAGAAACUCGUUUGAUCUACUAAGCACCGUUUGUGUGAUCCAAGAUUGGAUCCAAGAUUGUUAGCAUCGUCACCGUCUGCAAGGAGUGCAAGGAGUAGAUCUUUUCUCCUAUCUCUUCCUAUCCUUAGAUUGAUGGAUUCGAGGGAGAAACUGAAAUCCCUCAACGGAGAGAUGCGUCUAUACGUCCAACACUCUCUUAACCCCCUAGAGGUCUUGUCCUUUUAUAGGCGAGAGCAGAGGGUCUACGAUAAGAGUUCCGUAAGUGGACUAAUAUAUUGGCUAAAAUAUUUCAACGGAACCCAAUUAAUUAUUAUAUUAUAUAUUUUAUUCAAUUAUAAAAGGAUCACAAAAACCUAACAAGAGUUUCGUCCAACGUGAUAAGCACAUUCAAAAGACACUUUCAGAAUCUUAUAAAAGUGACAAACCAGGUAAUGGUUAAAGCCUAAGUGUAAAGCAUCACAAAGAGUUUCGCUUUGAACCAGCUUUAGGAAGGAACCACCCGCCACAAAGGCAGCAUUUCAUGUUGGGAGGAGGGCUAGAUACUGUAGGCACCACUAAACUAAGAUUUCCCAUGAUAGGUGUAGAUUUCUCCUACGUGUUCUGUUAAAAAAAAACCUCUCUCCUUGUGUAUAAACAGAGAGUACCCUAUCAAACACAUAUAUCUUUCUUCGUUUCAUUCUUAUUCUUAACAACAACAAAAGAUGAAAAAUAUAUUCUAAGCAUUUGUAUAUCCCAACCAUUAUCAAUAAUAAGAAAAAAAACCAAAAGACCGACUCGAAGUUCACAGAGCGAAAGAUCAUAUAAGGACCAUCCUAAUUCGUAAAGGGCCAAAAACAAAAAAUACAGGUGAAGGACUCACUACGAAUCAACUUACUGAAGCCCCUGCAAUAUUCGGCACGAUAGUGGAGACUCCUACGACAUCCGGAUGCAUUUCCACGAGACGACAAGGGACUUCUAUAGCCGCAUCCUUUCUAAUACGUGGUGCUUUUCCACUAGAAGACGUCGAUCGCGGGUCCAGUUUGCCAAGCUUGCCGUCAAGAUCUCGACCCACAGAAGAUUCUUUGAGCAAUGGCGUAAAACCUCCUCUCCUUCCUACGUAUAUAUAAGUCGUACAUAAACCUCCUCUUCCUGCUCCCUAUCAGGCGCUACGAUAGUACAGGAUGCAGAAUGCCAGAGUUUCUCGUGAAGAAACAAUGAGCACCAUUCGAGAGUCCUCACACGUCUUAUGCGAACAACUCUCUCGUCGUUCCCACCUCCAAUCCGAGUGCGAUUACGUCCAUCACCUCUAUACUAUGGCUUCGUCGUCGACUGUCAUCACUACCACCACCACCACGGCCUGCUCCUGCCGACUUCGACGCGGCCGUAGUAGGAGAUGGAUCAUAAAUAAACUCCUGGAGUUCGCCCUUCAGUGCGGGCUCGCCCUCCUUGGCCCCUUCUUCAUAAAAAAUGCAGCUCAUGAGGACUCGGCUAUAUCACCACCGCCAUGGACUGUGGCUGUGCUCGGCAUCUCUAUCCUCGUGACGCUCUGCGCCGGCAUCGGUAGCGUCGCUCUACGAGGUUUGCGUGGACCGCCGUCGUUCCUCCCUGAUUUCCUCCACUUCGUCACGUACUUCUCGGCCAUGUCGGCGUUCGCUUCUUUUGUUUCCACGGCGCUGGGGGGGCGAUGCUGGUGGAUCUCCUACGCGUUCGCUUGUUUCCCUUUGGCUUGGGUCUUCCACCAUCUGCUCCUACGAUGGCGGCUUCGCCGAAGAAGUUGAUGUAAAGAAGCGAUCGUUCCACUGAAAACUGGUAGGCCAGUGCAGAAUCUCCUCGUCAACCACGUAUUAAUAGGUUGUACUACAAACGGACGGCUGUUGUUAGUUCGGGCUUGACUGAACCAACCCUCCAAGUACUACAGGACCGCGUGGUUCCUUUCCAUUUGCGCUUAAUGUCAUAAAACAUAUGUACAACCCUACAAAUUUACAUAGCUUUGUCUUAUUGGAGUAAUAAUUUUUGCUAUGGGGGGAGAGAGAGCGAGAGAGAGAGAGACUCGACUAGGGUUUCCCUUUCCGGUUUCUGUGGCCGCCGGUUAUCCCUCGCCGGCGGCAACGCCAUCCUCACGAGCCUCCCUUGGCGCUGUGUCGCUGCCUCUUCCCUCCCCUGCGGGCCCCACGGGACAUGGUCUCCCUCGCCAUGAAGCUGUUGGCAUCCGGCCGAUCGCGUUUCGUGCUGCUGGCCCUGUCGUUGGCGCUGGGGUGCGGUGCGGCUCGGCUUCAAGGCUGCUCCCGUCCCACUCGCUGCCGAGGCGUUCUGGGCCGGCGGACACUCGCUCCCUUUCUAGUCUCCCGCGAUUGGUCGGCCUCGGAUCACGUCUCCGUUGGACGCCCCCUCGCCUGUGUUGGCCGGCGUCCGUCCUGCUCCGUCGGUGGCCGCCGAUCCAUUGCUGUCGGUUCUGAUCCGGCGGCGUCUCUGGCCUUCGGAUCCUUUCCGCUGGCAUCUCCUUCCGGAUCGCAGGUGGUCACGGCCUCCUCCGCUCCUGGCGCUACAUGAUGCAAAUUCGAGCCUCCGUGGGGAUGCGAUGCUGUCGUGUCGGCUUCGGCACCGAUCGGUCUCCCCUUCCGGCAGUGUCUCCUUUCUAGCGGGGUUGUCUUCUCCCGUGGGACCAGCAUCGGGGGACCCACUGCCACCGACUUCCCCGAUUGCUCUGGCUCUCGAGAGAUUGCUUCCUUCUCCGGCGAGCUUCGGAUCUUCGCUCACCGUCGGCUCCUUCCCCUCGGUGGCUUGUGCCGGUGUCGCUUCUCCGGCUGUGGAUCCUGAACCGCCGGAGUACGAUUGGAGAUCGAUGAUGUGCUCAUUUUGUAAUCUCUUUGGAUAUGCUACCAAGAAGUAUGUAUGAGAGACACACUUGUAGAGAAAUCCCGAAACAGCUACUUUGUCGGUUGUAGAUAGAUACACACUAUGUCGAAGGCGAUUCCCUCACUACCUGUGUGUCGGUUUUCUUAUGGUACUAAUUUCUGUGCCAAUUGUGUCAAAGGCCGGAAGGAAUAGAAGCUGAUCCAUCAUUUCUGUCCAGGUUACUGUAACGAAUAUGUUCCUUCGGGAUUUGAUGUUUCUUCGUCCAGUUGGUACAGUUAUUUUAGCUAUAAACAAGGCAUCGUGACGACCGAGGUGUCAGCACGACUUAACUCUUUCGGAGUGCGUAAGAUCAUUAAUAUGGUCUUUGAGUCGGAGGGUGUUAACCCGAGAUUUGAUUGAGGGGGUGUAGGCCUCGUUCUCGCAAGUGGAGGUUGAAGAUGAAUCCUUUAGCUCUCCAAUUCUCCGUUUAAGUGCUUGAACAUAGAUCGUAAUCGAAAGGGGGAUUCCUUACUUAGAUCCCUUCGGUGCUUAUGUUAGGUUGGCUUUUUUAAUAGCAUGUGGAUCUUUUAAGACCCACGUUUCUCUUGUGCGAGGAAAGAGGGGGCAUAAUAAUAUCGGUCUUUGUCAUUCUCACCCACAACCUUCACACAAAUGGGAGAGUUCAAUAAAAUCGCCAUAGUUGCCCGUUGCAUAGGAGAAGAGGUGAUAGAUUUGAUGAGGCUAAAGAUGGAGGCUACUAUAGGUCCAAUGAGAUAGAGGAAAGGGAAGACGAUGGUAAAGGUAGCAUUAGGGUAAUGUAGGAUGAUGCGAGUCCGAUAGGAGCUAAGGGCAAAUUGAUCAUUUUAAAAAAUAUUUUACGAGAAUUUCUUAAAGAUAAAGAGCUUCUUCAAAAACUCAUCAUAUUUUAUUUGAUUAAUUUUUUUAUCAAAAUAAUUUAUGAUUUACAUAGUUUUAUUUUUGUCGAUGGUAUACUUAAUUGUUCAUGAAUAAUUUUUUUUUAUUUUUUUUCAUAAUUCUUUAUAUUCAUCUCAACAUUCUAAUCGUAACAAUAUAAUUUUCUUAUAAUCCAACACUAAAAUUUUAUAAAUUAUGAUUAGUUUUAUAAUCCUCUUAUAAGUUGUUUCUUUUAGAUUAAAAGGAUGACGAUGGCAAAGGUAGCACUAGGGUAACGUAGGAUGAUGCGGGUCCGAUAGGAGCUAAGGGUAAAUUGAUCAUUUAAAAAAAUAUUUUACGAGAAUUUCUUAAAGAUAAAGAGCUUCUUCAAAAACUCAUCAUAUUUUAUUUGAUUAAUUUUUUUAUCAAAAUAAUUUAUGAUUUAUAUAGUUUUAUUUUUGUCGAUGAUAUACUUAAUUGUUCAUGAAUAAUUUUUUUAUUCUUUUUCAUAAUUCUUUAUAUUCAUCUCAAUGAUCGUAACAAUAUAAUUUUCUUAUAAUCCAACACUAAAAUUUUAUAAAUUAUGAUUAGUUUUAUAAUCCUCUUAUAAGUUGUUUCUUUUAGAUUAGAAGGAUGACCAUCACCCGUUAAAAUUGACUGCAGCAUUUUCACUUGUAUUCAAAAUUUCAUCCAAAAAUGAUACUAAUAAUAUAUUCGAUAUAACUUUCUAGAACUUCACGUGUAUCUAACAUACUUAUAUCUUUGGUUAUUCUUAGUGCCAUUAAAAUUACAUUACUCGAAGGAAAUCAUUACUUAUGAGGUUAUUUAAAAAAAAAUAGUAUUUUUUUAAUUACAAUUUUAUUAUAUUAAAAUAAUAUAUAUGAUGCUCAUAUGUGAUUAAAUUUAAAAUCUAUCACUCGUAUAACAAUAUAAUAAUUAAUCGAAUAUCUCGAUAAAGACUUAACGAUUGUAUUUAAGAUUUUUUAAAAAAAAUUACUAUAGUAGAUUAAUUUAUUAUUCAUCAACUUAUGCAAGCAACUUGAAAAAAAAUAAUUACUUGUAUACUUCUAUUUUUAACAGUAAUACGAUUUCUUUUUUAUUCCCCAAAAUUUACAGUGUCUUUUUUACCAAUAAAGAAAAAAAAUUAGAAAUUAGAAAUUUUAUGUUUAAUUUUUAAUCAAAUAUAAUUAAAUAAAUGUAUUAAUUAAACGUACUCUUUUCAUUGACUUAAUCUCGUUUGAUUAGUUCCCUACGAAACCCUCCGAGCUUAUCGCUUCGCUCGAUUGCGACACGAAGCAUUCCGCAGCGCCAAUGGCGGACUCCGACCCUCCGCGACUCGACCGUCGUCACCUCCUCCUCCACCACCACCACCGCACCGCCGGUCACGUCCUCCGUCACUCGCUUUCCUCCCUCCUCUCCUCCGGCGUCCUCCCCUGCCUCCUACUCGCCUCCCUCCUCCUCUUCGCCUUCCACUCCACCCUCCUCGUCGCGACCCUCCGCCUCUCCGCCCUCGUCGAUCGCGACCCCGCCCUCCUCUCCCUCCUCCGCCGCCUCUCCUCCUCUCCCUCGGCUGCCCCCGCCCCCGCCCCCGCGCCUCCCGCCCGCCCGCGCUCCGCUCCCUUCCUCCGCCUCACCCGCGCCGGUGACUUCUUCUCGGAGUCCGACCCCCCCGCAUCACUUCGCUUCUCCCUCAACGCCUCCCGCCUCCUUUUCCUCGAUCCCGCCGUAGGCUUGCUCCCGCGACCCCCCAAGUCCUCCAAGAGUAGUGUACCCUUGUUCCCUUCCUCCGUUUCCCCUUUCCUUUUCUCGUUCCCCGACGCCGACGACCGCGGCGGCGGCGGUCGAGAUCGGGCCGUCAGUCAGCAGGAUUUGGGCCGGGGUUUCGACAUCGACCGUCGAGAUGCCACUGCGAUGCUCUACGUACUCGUCCUCCUCUCCUCCACCCACUCGCUCGCAAUCCUGGGGUUUGUCAUUGCGUAUACCUCUGCUCUCGGCAUUGUCUUCUUCUCGAUUGCUGCCUUCCACGUCCAGAGGCCCGCCACCGUCGUCGAGACCAUCUUUUCUGGCGCUCGGGCGGGGAUCCGACGGCUCACGGGGUUCGUGUUCUUGCGGUGGGCGGCGAGGGACAUGCUGAUCCAGUUCCUCAGCUUCUGGUUCUUCGCCAAUGUCGAGGAUCAGGCCGAGCUGUUCAAGCUCUUCGUCAAGGUCAAGCUUAUGCCUUUUACAUUGUCGCCAUUCAACCCAUGGUCUGGGCUGCAAGACGAGGCGCUCUCGGGGUUUUUCUUCGUGUGGGCUCUCGUCGACACAGUGGGGUCGGUGAUGGUUGUCCUCAUGCCCUGGGUGGUGAUAAUGGACAACAAUUUGAGGCGGGGUGUGCUGGAUGAGGUGAAAGAGGGGUUUUAUUUCAUAACUCUGAUGCCGGCACAGGCAAUCUGGAUCAAGUUCUUGGAGAUGAUGAUCUGUGGGAACCUGGGGACGUCGGCAGCCAUGAUGGUUGGUGGGAGAUUGUUUGCCGGUCUGUUCCAUGCGGUGGCGGAGGUAUACUUCAUGGCAGUUUGGUUGAUUUUCUACUUUGCAGCAAGGGGCAAGGAUGGAGAAAUGACGGGGCGGAGGUUUGGGCCAAGAGACUUGCAGCGUUGCAUCGAUGAGCUCAGUUGAGAUGUACCGUUCGUGCUGGUUGUGAGGAUCAUUCUGCUGGUAGCCGCAUACUCAUGAAUUCGGUGAGGUUGCGCCCUUUUACUUUCUUUGUUGUGAUAGAACUUUUAAUAGUCCUCAUUUAUACUUUCCAUUGGUUUAGGGGUUUUGGAUUCACAUGUACAGUUUUGGAUGAAGAGAUUUGUUGUAUAGGUUGUAGACAUCAAUUUGUAGAUCUCCUGUCUACUGCUGCUUAAUCAAGUAAUUGAUAACUCACACGAAUAUAGUUUCCUGGAUGUAUGUUUUGCAUGAUCUUUGUUAUGCUGGCUGGUUCUGAUAUCCAAUGCUGAAAUUUUAGGAGUUUACACUUUGAAAGUUGACACAAAUAUUUUUCGACUAUGUUAUAGUGUUAGUUUGAUGAUAUGUUAGCAGAAAAUGUUGCUUGAUGAAAACUGUGAAUUUUGAUGAUUAUAUUGAAAUUUAUGGAAACCCAUUAAGAAGGAUAAGAGGAUGAUGGGCAAUUGGUAACAGAAGUGCUUGAUCAUCUCUUUUUCAGUAAGAGUUUGUAUAUGUGAUUCAAAAGUUUCAAAUUAAGUGGGCAUCUUCUACAGAGAAGGAAAUGCCAACAAAGUAGAGUACAGAUAGGUUCUUAAAUUUGAAUCCUUACCAUUUAUAUCCUCUAUACCAACUCUUAGAGCCAGCAAAGUACAAACAAUCCAUAGUCGCCAAAAACACCACCUCCUAUCUGUUUGUUUCAGUUAUGUGUUUGUAUGAUUUUGAUGUGCCAGAACUACAUAAAUGUUUCUCUUUUUGUGUUGAAGAAACAUACUUUAAUAUCAUUUGAAAUAGACAGCAUCUAUGAGUUUAUGUCUAUUUAGCUAUACUCUUUUUAGAUGAAUUCUUAUGAUUAUAGUAUUGAUAAGCAAGGUAGGCAAUACCGAAUGAUACCGCCCGGUACGGGCGGUACGUACCGGUUCGACGGCAUAUCGGUACGCGGACCACCCGCAACUAGGCGAAACGUUUAAAAGCGUCCCGUAUCGGACGAUAUGGGGUAAUAUCGAGCGGUAACGAUCAAAAUUUCGAUCGUUACCGCUCGACACAACUCGGUAACAGUCGAAAUCGACUAUUACCGCACUGUAACAGUGCUACAGUGCUCCAACGGUUAAAUUGACCGUUGGAGCCCUUUCUCAUAGUAUUUAAACCCUUCUUCUUCCCUAUUUCCUUCAUUAGAUUUUCAUGCUCUCUUAAACUAUCUCAAACUCUUUUUUCUCUCCUAAACUUUACUAAACAAUGAUUUGUGAAUUCAAUCGAGGCUAAUUUGGGAAGAUUAAGAGGAAGAACUUUCUAAUUAAGAUGUAUGCAUUCUUUUUCUUUAAUUAGAGAGUAAUUAAGAUCUUUAAUAUUAUGAUUAGUGUGUUUCAUGCAUAUUAAAUAUUAAAAAAUAUUUAUGGUGCUGCGAUUAGUCAUUUUAAUGAUGAUUUAAUCGAAAUUUAUUCGAUUUUAUGUCAAUUCAAUAUGUUUAAUACAUAUUAUGGUGUUUGUCAUGUUUAUAGUGUUGAAAGAGAAGUAAUUAGUGAAAAAUUAACUAUGUUAAUUAUGUAAUUAGUGUAUCUAAUGAUGAUUUUAUCAUAAUUUGAAUCAUAUUGGAUCAAAAUUACAUAUUUAAUGUUUCUUUUAUGUGUUUGACAUAUAUUUCAAUCACUGAAAUACGAACCUUGAACAAGACUUCCUCAAAGCCUGAAAAAGAUAUGUGAUACUAUUCUUACCUAAUUUACAUUGAUUUUGUUAAACUUAUACUAUUACUAUAUUUAUUUCUAACUUAAAAACUCUAUCCUAACAUUUUUUUUAUUUUCAGGUAUUUUUGGAGGGUUUUACACCCUAAAUUAGGUGUACCGCUCGGUACGCCCUGGUGUACCGCUCGAUACACGGUACCGUACCAUACUGAGCCAGCCUCGAAACACCGGUAUGGUACGGUAUUGCAGACCUUGCUGAUAAGUACUAAAUACACAAAAAACACUAAAUAAAGGAGGUUAAGGCUUUUGUUAUAUCAUUAUGGGUUAGGAUAUCAUGCUUGUUUAACUGAAGGAAAAAAUUGCUUUCCUUCUAACUUCAAUGAACCUAAUACACUUUGACGAGAAUUGAGCCAAUUUAUUGCCUUAGAAUCAAGUAUUGGUUAGCUAGAGUUAUGAGACUUACUAAGAUUUCAGCUAGGUGCAAGCUUGUGGAUGUGGUAGUUAAGUAUGAAUGAGGUUUCAGAUAUUGAGCCUAUGGCUAAACAAAGGUUUGUUUUGAGACAAUGUUCUUAGAGUCAUAAACAGUGAAAUACCUGGUUGUUAAGCCCAUAUUCCAAACUGUAUAUGUUGACAAAUUUAACUAAAAUAAUUUUAUAUUCAUCAUUUUUUUAUAAGCAACUUUAUUGGUAUUUCUUGGUUUAAUCUGUUUUAAAAAACUUUGUUAGCUUCAAUUUAAUAUGGAGCUUAUUUUGAUCUUUCCAUUAAACAGAAAAUUAUUCAGUAAAUUCCUGGGAUCCUUUUAUGUCAUUUAAAUUGGAUAUUUUUGCUUAGUUUCAGAAUGGAAUAAGUCUCAGGAUUGUGCUGAGGUCUAUAACAAAGGUUUAAAGUGACUGACAAUAUAUGGAGAAUCUUGUCUUUCCUUAUUGCUAGUGUUUUUAAGAAGUAUAUAUUCUACCUUUCUUCAUUCUACACCUCGUAUUCUUUUAUAUCCACAGGUUACAUCACCUGAGAAUCAAGUUUAGUAUUUCAUUUUGAAUGUUAGUGUUUCAUUUUGAAUACUAGUGUUUUUAAGAAGUAUAUAUUCUUCCUUUUUCAUUCUACACCUCGUAUUCUUUUAUAUCCACAGGUUACACCACCUGAGAAUCAAGUUUAGUAUUUCAUUUUGAAUGUUAGAAAAAUAAGUUGAAUAGUUUGAAGGAACAAUAGGAUGAAUAAGGACUGUGUACAAAUUAAUGAUUGCUAGGACUGGUGAUGUUUAUUGUGCAGAUGCUUCUUGCUAAUUUGACAAAUUCAGCAAGUGCUGGAAAUUUUGCUUAUAGGACUAGUGACUAAUUAACUCUUCUUCUAUUUACCACAGUGACAGUUUCAUCACCUUCAACCUCGGAUGAGCCUUGUAUGAGCUUGUAGACAUGCUUUUGAGGCCAUAUGUAUAACUAUUGCUCUAGGUAGAUAUACCUAGAGGUAUCCUAAAGUUCGUAAGCCAAAUUGUAAUAUGGAAUUAUCUCAAAAUGUGUUAGGGUAUGCAUAUGACGAAUAUGAGUACUCCUUGAAGCCAUAGUCAUAACACCUGUUUGAGCGAUCCAAUUUUGAGAUUGUGAGUGAAAACAGCGAUGGUAUUUAUGAAGAAAUUGUCCUUGAGCUGUUCAGGUAUUAUAAUUGUUCUUUUUUUCUUAGUUUUGGAUAGAUAAAGAUCUUUUAUUCAUAAGACUUUGAAUGGUUUAAGUUUGCAAAGGAAUAAAGAUUUUGGGUUUUGGUUGAUCAUGAUUUACUUCUGAAAAUGAGAAAGAAGCGAGAAAAUCUUCUUUUUAACUCUGAUUCUCCCACUAAUCGUUGAUUUUCUUCAGGUUAUUUUGAAAGUAACUGCUUCAGAUUCAACCACACUGAUUGUUUAUAUUACUAUAAAACAACUCAAACAAAUUAGCCCUUUGAGUUUCCCUUAUAGAAGUUACCAUAUUUGGGGUUUUGACUACCCUUAGUUCAAUAUAAGAUUGUUUUUUUUCUUGUACUAAUUAGGCAUCAUCAAGGAUAUCAAAUGUAAUGUGCCCUAUUGUGGUACUUCAUUUUAAGGUUAGAACAGAGAUUUAUUAGAAACUCAUAAAAUGAAUAAUGCAAACAAAGUUUUGUAUACAGAGUGAACCGUUGACUUAGAUUAACCAGCUGAAUAUUCCGAGAGUUUUGAUUGAUUAACUUCAAUUUUCUUCCUGCUGCCUAAUCAUUUUGCUUGUAUAACACAGUAAAGGAUAAAAUCUUGAGACAUUGACUGUCCCCUUUAAGGAACUCUCACAAAUACAUAUGGUUGUACAGCACUUUUGAUUUUGUUACUUUCUUGUGUCUUUAUGUUAAACAUCCAAUUGUUUAUGUUUGAAAAGAAUCAGCCUUCGUAAAUGAAUUCUAAUUGAAAUAUGGCACUCUAAUAACCCUUUCUUAACAAACAAGAGAAACUGCUCGAUUUUAUCACUAAAAUGACGAAUAAGAAGAAUAAUGGUCAUAUGGUCUUCAGAUGUUACAAUCAUGACCAUAGAAACAUGAAAUUUAACUUAUUGAUAAACAUAAAUAAUGCUGCCAGCUGAAAGAGGACUAGGAAAUGAGAGAGUAUAUGGUUGGAAGAAUGGAUUAUGGACCUAAUAGCAAUAAAAAAAAUUAAUUUAAUAGGAGCUGGCUAGUUCGAUAGACAAUAAAAUUGUAAAACCUUGUUUACAAGGUUUUCUUGAUGGAACAAUUGAUUGGAGCAGCAGCAUGUUUUUCUUGUACCAUUCAAUGAUUUUGCAUUAUUUGUUGCCCUUUUUUUUAUUUAGUAGAACAAUUUGGACCUUUUUAUGCUUCAAUCAUGAAUUUUAGAUUGUAGAUAUAGCUUGCUAGUUUUCACCUGCUUGAAGAAUUUGAUACAUUUAGAUUGUUCAGAUAGAUAUUUGUUGGACCAUCUCCAAUUUUACGUUGGUUAACUGUUCACAGAGUGGGACAAUGACCUACAACUUGUUCUUUCAUCAUUUCUUUGUUAUAUGUUGUAGCUGAAUGGCCAUAAAAAUUUUAUAACAAGUUGGACACAUCCAUGUGUUUUUAUAUCCAUAGUUGAAAAUUUUGGUUACCAAAUCCAUACUAAUCUCGGGUGGAUGGUUUGUACGGUGUGUCUUAGUUUAUAAAUAACAAUGGUUUUAUGGUACGUAUAUCAAGAAUAAUGUUGUGCCUUAAGAUGUUAUAAAAUUUCUAACUAUCGAAUCCAACAUUAGGUUCUUAACUGAUAUAAUAAAAUUAGAAGUGGGCCUGUGUAUGAUUCCAGAGUUUCUCAUGAAUUUAUUCUCUCAUUUCAUUUAAAUACAACAUCAAAAGAAAACUAACUUGUUUGAUUUCUCAGAACUAAUUUUCUUUUAUCUCCUCAAAACUCUCUGUAUCUUUUAUUCAUGUUGAUUGCUUGAAUACUUCUCAGAUUCAAUUCAAAUAUCUGUGUGUGCAAUAAUACCAUAAUGUAGUCACUGUAUCUCAAGAUGUGUUUCUGGAUUUCUUCUUUUUUUUAACAAUCCUUGUAUUAGCUGGUUUAACAUAAAUGCAAUUGUGAAUUAUCAGGAGCCUGUAAUAGCUUUUGGUAACUCACUGAAAUUUUAAGGACCAAUUUAUAAGGAUUAAAUUGUGGGUCCUAAGCUGCUGUCCAUGUUGGCUUGUCCUAGUGUGUCUACAGUAAAUGGCCUUGGCUAAUUUCUGAUGAUUUCAUCAUUCAUUCACUUAGACACCAGGUUUCUACUUUCUUAUCAUGUAUCCCAGUGAUAGCAACAAGUGUUGUGAGGACUUGAAACACAAUCAGAUAUUUCGUCAACCAAAAUUACUUGCAUGUUAAUUAGUUGCAGUAGCAGGGUAUUUCUCUGUUGUUGUUUGUUAUUUGUUGUUAAAAGUUGUACUGAUUAAAUUGUGCCCAUGCAUCCCAUAUUUUAUACAUUGGAUCCAACAGUAGAAUAUGUGCAUUCUUGUUAUCGGUAUGGCUAAGAGUACGAUUUUAUCGGUUAAAUCGAUAUUUGUUGAUUGGUAUUCUGUCCAUCUGUCUAAAGAUUGAUGCCAGAUCAUAAUAUAAUUCGGUAGUGAUUGUUGUUUAUUUUCUGGCUUUUUAAUGAUAUCGACUGGGAUAUUAGAGAAGUUAUAUCAGUAGUAUUUGAUGAAGAAGGUUGUUUAAGCAAAAUAUAGUUGUUUGAGAUGUUGAGGAACCAACCUUGGUUUGAUAUUAGGAGAUGAAUGGGUUCGACAAAGUAUUCUGUAAAAUUUUUUUUAUCGAAUUUGUAUAGAGGUUGUGUCGGACAAGGAUCCUGCUAAAGUUAAUAACUUGGAAGAACAACAAUGAUUUAGGAUUUGAAAGGUUCAAAGAGUUGUAGUUGCAGAAGCGUAUCUGAGCCUUCAUAUAGAAUGAUAUAGUGAUCAUAAGGAUUAAGUGGGGGAGUUGAUCCAUGGAAGUGGUUUUGUCACAUUGUUGAGUGUUACCUAAAACGUCGAGCAUUGCGAUUGACAAGAUUAUGUAUGGUGACCGUAUGGGUCAUUCAUUCUACAUGUCGUGCCGACAAGGCAUAUAAGUAAGUGGCUGUCUAGCUGGCUACCAAUGAUGCGGUGUUCGAAUAUCUAUCAUAUCCAUCAGUAAAAAUCUUUGGCGCACUUCCAAAUAAGCGUCAUGAGUCAGUGUAAAGAUGUCAUUGUUUCAGCACAGAUGUUGUGACAAUUUAGGAUUGGGUUUUAGAUGGAGGAUGUGAUUGUUGAUAUGCCAAGGAAGAAGAAUUGAUGUUUUCUUACAAAUUUGAGAUGGUACUGCUUUAUGGGGGAAUUAGUGAAGAGGAUUCUCGCACCCCAUAAGAAAUUGCAUCUAGGAAGUAUGGGAUGGAAAUGGAGAGGCAAUUGUAGUGAGUGUGAUGGGGAAUUAAUUAAUGAAAGAUAAAUCUAUUUUCUAAGGAGGUAAAAAAGUGAAGUUUGAUCAGUAAAAUUAUUUUCUUAUAAAUAGAUCAAAAUGGGUUAAUCAUUAAUAGCCUUAGGAUGUAAAGGCACUUUUCCUCCAUAAAAUUAAUUAUAGAUUAAUAUUCAUAAUUAGUUAUUUUUAAUAUUUCGAUCUUUAUAUUUUUAAAUAUUAUGUUACGAUCCCUAUAUUUUCAAAAGAAAAUUAUUUAAUUUUAUUUUUUUCUUAUACUAUCAACUAUAAAAAUAUCGUACAAUGAGAUAGAGUUAAUACAGUGAAAUAGAGUUAACAUGUACUAAAUAAUAAACAUUAUGAUAUUUUUACUUGUAGAAUCAAUAUGAUGAAAAAUAAGAUUAAAUAUUUUACUUUCAUAAAUAAAAAUCGAUAGGAAUUAUGGUGAUAACCUAUCCCAAAGAGAUGAUAGGUUAUCAUAGCAAUAAACAUGAGCUCUUUCCAACUCUGAAACAUUUUUAUCUAAUUUUUUUUAUAACAUGAGUUUUAGUCAGUAUCGGAUACCCGUCCCAUUUAAGGUGGAGUAUAAUAGGAGUUUUCAUCAUUGGCCUCAGUACAACACGAAAUCUCUAUUAAAUGGAGAAGGAAAAGGAUCGUACUAACGGAAAAUGGACGUCCGUCGAAGGUUUGCACGCUUCAAUGUACAACUCCGGUGUAGGAAUCCCAUCUCUCUCGUUGUCCCGUACAUGGUUCAAGCUUCAAGGUCGGCGUUCGGUGCGAGCUACGCGCAUAGACGAAGCAGCGGGCCUUCGGGCCUCUCCGUGGCAAGCGAUGGAUCUCGGCUUGCUCCCUCAACCGUACUCAACCCUCCACUUGUGAUCCAAGGAUGCCCUUUCUCAUGUUAAAUACGUAUUAAUGCCGAGGAGGAAGAAUUUGUAAUAAUUAUUUCUAAUUAAAUAAGACAUAUUAGCAGAAACAAAUAGGAAAAGGAAGGCAGCUUUUCUUCUGCCAAGGUUUAGAUCAUCAAUGUAAUCGACCAAAAACUUCCGCAAUAAUUCAUGAAGGGAAGAAAUAAAUCAAAGAAUGAGUUUAAAAAUCCCCAAAUCCAAAACGAGAAAACAAAUCUUCUGCGGUUAACAACAACAAAUCGUCUAACAGAAAACAAAACGAUCAAGAUGAUGGGCGGAGUGAGAUCAAAGUUGAGACGAAGGGUCUGUUGGUGCUUACUGAGGACUUGCUCGGCGGAGAACCUUCUCGAGACGUCCCUGCAGAGCAUCCGCCGCAGCAGGUCCUUGGCUGCCGGCGAUACCGAGCGAAAAACCCUCGAUGGGAACCUCAGGUUGGCCCUGGCCACCAACUCGAAGGUCUCCGCCGCCGUAUCCCCGUAGAACGGCGGCGCUCCACCCGAAAGCAUCAUGUACAUCACCACCCCAGCGCUCCACACGUCCACCUUCUCCCCGUACUCCCGCCCCAUCACAACCUCCGGCGCCACGUACCACGGCGUCCCAACCAGCCCCCUCAUCGGCGCCCGUCCCCCAUCCGCCCCCAGGAAGCACUCCGCCGACCCGAAGUCGACCAGCUUGAGCUGCCCCAGCGCGUCGAAGAGAACGUUGUCCGGCUUCACGUCCCGAUGCGCCACCCCCCGCAGGUGACACGCCGCCACGGCCUCCGCCAGCGCUUGCACUACCGCCGCCGCCUCCGGCUCCGGGAACGGCGCUCCCCCGCGAGCGGCGAUCCGGUCGUAGAGAUCCGGGCCCUCGAGAAGCUCCACCACCAGGUGAACCCAGUCGUCGUCCUCGUACGCGUCGUGAAUCUGCGCUGCGUGGGGGUUCCCUGAAGCGGCCAGGCGAUGGACCUUCGCCUCCCGCGCCGCGCACUCGCGAUCGACGGCGUCCGCCAGGACCCGCUUCUCGACCGACUUUACGGCGAACUCCUCCCCGGUCGCCUCCGAUCGGCACCGCCUCACCACCCCGAACCGCCCCCGCCCGAUCUCCACGCCGAUCUGGUAGCCCCUCCUCACCAAUGCCUCGCUCAUGCCUCUCCAAUCCGAUCUCCACACUAUAGAAUCACGCCUUCUCUUCUACCUCCCGUCCGUCUCCUGCCACUCUUCAGUCCACCGUUGCUCGGUAUACUUAUAGUCUUAAGACGAAUCCGAAUCGGAGACCGAAUAUGCCCUGGCAUUUGACCACGUGGACGGUCGAUUCCAUCGGAUUCCAAUAAUCGGACGGACGACGGACGGCCAAAGAACCCUCCACUUAUAUUAACUUCGAGCCGAUGUCACUCUCACCCACAAUUACCAAACUAUCCCAGGAGACAAAGCAACGGCUUAACUAAUGGACAUACAUAAUGUAGCGUGAUUAGUUUGGUCUGUUAGGAAAAUCCUCCGACGUGUCAUGUCGUUUUGCGUAUACUUUUGAACCAUCAGUUCGUGAAUCAGGACCGUCCGAUUCGAUUUUGAGUGAACUUGCACCGUCCGAUCGGUAAUUCACCAACAAUUAGCGGAAAUAACGUGAAAUGAGUUGCGGGUUCCAAUAAGUUAUCGUGGUCGCGGCUGUGAUAAGCCGUUGUAAAUUUGACGGCGAGGGAGCACGUGGCCCCACGUGGUUGGAGGAAUAGGACGGCGCGCUCGGAGAAUCCGCGAGGAAGUUGGACCAGUUUAAAACGUGUCCUUUACUUUUCUGUCUUUUUUUUUUAUUCCUCUGUGUUCUUUGUUUUUAUUUUUUUAUAGGUCGACAUCAAAGACCGAGCGAAAAUUCUCUGCUUUGACUCUCUAGACGAUCGAUAGCAUGUCUCUUUGAUACCUUGGAGAUUCUAUGUAAGAUGUCAAUGCUAGAAUUAAACCUCCAAUUCGAAUCGAACUCGUGUAAGAGUUGAAAGCUAACCAAGGGGGCAGUUAGAAUUAUGAACCAUGGGAACAAGGGCAGAUGCAUCUUCUUCCACUGCCCAGAUUGCAUGCAUGGGCAAAGUCAUUUCACCGUAUCUUGCUACAGCAUCCGCCAUUUGAGCGGCUGAAUCAAGAUUCAAUCCCUCGACGAGCACCGCCGCCCACUUCCGAUCUCGUCGUAGUCCCUCCCUACCGCUCCGAUCCCAUCUCCACAGUCGAGAAUCACGCACUCUCUUCUCCCUCUUCAGCCACUCGAGUCCAUCGGUUCUCGGCUUGCCUAAGAACUGCGAAUCGGGGGCGGAACGAUUCCACUUUGUCCGGUCCACUCGUAACCCCACGCGGGUUAAAUGAUCGGCUAAAGGGCUCGUGUGGGACCGGACCCACACCUUUAAUCGGUGAUCGAGACACUCAGUUGCUCGACGAACCGGCACCGUCGGAUCGGGUCGGAUCAAUCACGAUAAUGAAUGCACGGAAACAGACAGAGAUGAGAUGAAACCUAUGGAUAUGUUUUCUGUUUGUUCAAAAGAUUACGUUUUAUCACAUCAUAAAGGUCGUAUCUUAUCUACGAGUUUAAACUUUUAGAUGAAAUGACAUUAAUUAAGGUUUAAGAGGUUAAUUAUUUGAUAAUCCCAAGAUUAAUCACGGAGGUCAGCGCGUCGUGGGGGUGUCCUGCAGCUGCAAGGCGGUGGCGCACUCGCGGCCGUUGGUUUCCGAGAUCUAAUCGGAUUCUAUAUACGAACUACGCCCAUAUCCGAAAUCUAAUCCGAUAUCCGAUCCCCUCGGGCAUACGUCUCCCCAUAUAUACGUACUAUCUACGCACAUCAGAACCGACUCUCCUCCGCCGUGACUCCGGCAGACGCCGCGGAGGGGGGCGAACGCGCGAAAAAUCAUGGAGAGACGAGGCCCCAUCAGUCAGUUUCCGGCCGGCUUCCACUUCGUGCCCACCGACGGUGAACUCAUCGGCCACUAUCUCCGGGCCAAACUCGACGGCGAGGACUUGCAGUACAAAGCAUUCAAUGACGUAAAACUCUACGACUACCAUCCUGCAGACCUCGUGGGUACGUGCGUCGUAUACACCCAUGUAUUUCUGGAGUUGUAUUCGUAUCUGUAGCGAGUAUUGUUCUAUUGCCAGAAAAAUACGAAGAUUAUGGAGAAGGGAGGUGGUUCUUCUUCACGUCCAGAGAGCGCAAGUACCCCAAUGGAAUUCGUCCGAACCGUACCACCUGCGACGGCGAUGGAUACUGGAAAGCCACAGGCACCGAGAAAAUCAUCUACUAUAAUCGAAAGCCUGUUGGAAUCCGAAGGUCCCUCGUCUUCUACACUGGGAAGGCUGGCAAUGGCCAAAAGACUGAUUGGAUCAUGCAGGAGUACACCACCAAGUCCACCUCUAACAAGCCGCAUCGUAAUUCCGACGGCUCUCACCAGCCGCAUCGUAAUUCCGACGGCUCUAUGCAGGUAUCGAUAAUUUUUAAGAUUUGCUUUCGACUUGAUUCAUCCAUGAUAAAUGGGUGCAAUGAUAUUUGGUGAUUUUGUAGUUGGAUCCGUGGGUUUUAUGCUCCAUUCAAAAGAAGCGAGGAGCGGAUAAGAGGAAGAGAAGUGAUUUGGAUAGUGGUGGACGCAGCAGAAGCAGCAGCCCUCCGCCUUCGAAGAUUUCUAGAACAGGCGGAGGCGGAGGCGGCGGCGGCGGCAGCGUUCCCAACGAAGAAGGGCUGAGUUAUAUGUUGGCUUCGACCGGUUGUCAAGUUGGAGUUCAUCAGGGUGGGUGGGAUGAUCCCCCGAGCAUCUGCAACAAUCAAUUCGACCAUGAAAACAACGCACCGCUGUAUGCUUUGCCCUUGGGGAUGCAAGACUAUCGUCGGUCUGCAACGGCUCGUCAAAUGCUUUCGGCGGACUUCUCAUCAGAAGCGGCGAGCUCAUCAUUGCAAUUCUAUUCAGCCGAGGCCAUGAACUCAGGUAAGCAAGUGUACCCAAUGGAAGCGGCGAACUCAUCACUGCGAUUCUUUUCAGCCGAAGGCAUGAACUCAGGACUGCAAGUCUGUGCAUCAGAAGAGACCAACUCAUCGCUGCGAUCCUAUUCAGCAAAAGCCAUGAACUCACGAGAGCAACUCUAUCCAUCAGAAGCGACCAACUCAUCGCUGCGAUUCUAUUCAGCAGAAGCCAUCAACUCCGCACAGCAAGUCUAUCCAUCAGAAGCGACGAACUCAUCGAUGCAAUUCUAUUCAGCAGAAGCAAUGAAUUCUGCACAGCAAGUCCACCCGACGAUGAGAUCAGAACAGAAAUUCUACGCAGCGGCGAUCUCGGCCCAACAGUUCUUCCUACCACCACCGCCGAUGAACUCAGCGCAGCAAGUCUAUCCGUCAUUCCCGCCGAUGAACUCGGCGGAGCAACUCUAUCCGUCAUUAAUGCCGGUGAACUCAGCAGAGCAAGUCUACUAUUCAGGAACGUCGAUGAACUCGGCGGAGCAAGUCUAUCCGUCAUUAAUGCCGGUGAACUCAGCAGAGCAAGUCUACUAUUCGGGAACGUCGAUGAACUCGGCGGAGCAAGUCUAUCCGUCAUUAAUGCCGGUGAACUCAGCAGAGCAAGUCUACUAUUCAGGAACGUCGAUGAACUCGGCAGAGCAGGUCUAUCCGUCAUUAAUGCCGGUGAACUCAGCAGAGCAAGUCUACUAUUCAGGAACGUCGAUGAACUCGGCAGAGCAGGUCUAUCCGUCAUUACCGGCGAUGACCUCCGGAGAGCAAGUCUACUCGUCAUUACCGGCGAUGACCUCCGCAGAGCAAGUGUACCCUUCGGGAACGUCGAUGAACUCGGCAGAGCAGGUCUAUCCGUCAUUACCGGCGAUGACCUCCGGAGAGCAAGUCUACUCGUCAUUACCGGCGAUGACCUCCGCAGAGCAAGUGUACCCUUCGGGAACGCCGAUGAACUCCGCAGAGCAUGUGUACCAAUCAGCAACGCUGACGAACUCGGCACAGCAGGUCCUACCAUUGGUCCACACGUCAGUGAACGACAACCAACAAUCGGUCCACUCGUCGGUGCAAAACAAUCCAUCAGAAUCAGCGUACUCGCAGGUAGAGCAGAACCCGCCGAACUCGGCGUUGCAAGGCAACUCAUCAGAACUCACAAAUACAGACUCGCCGUUAGAACUACUUGACUUUUCAGAUUUGCUUAUCCAAGACGAAAACUUAUUUGGCCGUCUACACUUGGAAUUAUGUGAUGAUCAACCACAGUUCCCUAAUCUCUCUGAACAAGACGGAGGCUCGCUACAAGCACUUCCUGGUCAUGGCGGCUCUGGUCUUCCUCCUCCUACCUCAGACAUGCCUCCAAAUAAUGAUAGUAAGUUUCAAACAGGUCAUCGUCAUCUCUCUAAACAAGACGGAGUCUCGCAACAAGCUCUUCCCGGUCAUGUCGGCACUGGUCUUCCUCCUACCUCAGACAUGCCUCCAUAUUAUGAUAGUAAGCUUCAAUCAGCUCGUCAACAUCAUGCACAGUAUAAUCCACAAAUAAGAACACUGGUAAAGUUGAUUUAGUUAGUCUUUAGCAUGAGUUCGACUAGUGUAGAUACAACAUAUACGGUGUAGCAUCAGCAUGUAUGGUCAUAUACAAUGUAGUAUCAUCAUAUAUCUGCAUAGUAUAUUAAACAAAAUUCAUAUUUUUACAGUGUGUCAAUCAGCAUCAACUAGUGUAGAUCAGGUAUUUUGUCUCAUAUACAGUGUAGUAUUUUGAGCAAAUAAUACAUCUUGGGAUGAACAGUAUCUGUUGUCACCUUGCAAAUCUUUACUACCUUGAAAUUUAUAUGACAACUAUUUAUGAUUGAUUUUAUCUGUUUUUAGUUAUAGUGAGGAUACAAUGAAAAGAAAUACCACUACCAACUCAUCUAUCUUUGUCGAUUCUGCAGGAGUUAUGAACAGUCCUACAAAAAUCCAAUCCCUUAUCUCUUUACUUUGAUUCAAGAUAACAAGUUCCUGUUAAGAGAAACAAUCAUAUCUUUUAUAUGUUGCAUUUGGAUCAUGAGAUUCUUAAAGAAGUUUACUAUUGAUAAUCCUCAUUUUAAUAUUAAAAUAUAUAAUUUUACUAUUUAGUGUAUUAUUCUCUUCAUAUUUUCAUCUCAAACACAUUAAUAUAUUUUUUUUUAUCAUCUAAAAAAUUCUAUUUAAUUAUCAACGUUAGAAGCAUCCAAUUGUCUACGUAUAUGUAUAUUUAUGAUCGACUUGUAUCUUUUCACCCCCAAGAAAGCACGAAGUGGAUUAAGGUAGCUUAAACUAAACAAUUAGUCAAACAAGUCUAAUUUGGUUGGCUCCAUUUGUACACGUACACAUCCUUCAAAUCCUACUCUCGCAGUUCUUUGUUGACUGCGAUGAUUGACGACUGGUAAUUUGAGAUGGGAAUAGACAAGGUUGACAUCAACGUCUUGAAUCCAUUCAUCGUAUGGACCAUCAUAAUUCAUAUCGAUAGCUAUGUUUGGUGCAUUCGUAGAACUAACGAUANNNNNNNNNNNNNNNNNNNNNNNNNNNNNNNNNNNNNNNNNNNNNNNNNNNNNNNNNNNNNNNNNNNNNNNNNNNNNNNNNNNNNNNNNNNNNNNNNNNNNNNNNNNNNNNNNNNNNNNNNNNNNNNNNNNNNNNNNNNNNNNNNNNNNNNNNNNNNNNNNNNNNNNNNNNNNNNNNNNNNNNNNNNNNNNNNNNNNNNNNNNNNNNNNNNNNNNNNNNNNNNNNNNNNNNNNNNNNNNNNNNNNNNNNNNNNNNNNNNNNNNNNNNNNNNNNNNNNNNNNNNNNNNNNNNNNNNNNNNNNNNNNNNNNNNNNNNNNNNNNNNNNNNNNNNNNNNNNNNNNNNNNNNNNNNNNNNNNNNNNNNNNNNNNNNNNNNNNNNNNNNNNNNNNNNNNNNNNNNNNNNNNNNNNNNNNNNNNNNNNNNNNNNNNNNNNNNNNNNNNNNNNNNNNNNNNNNNNNNNNNNNNNNNNNNNNNNNNNNNNNNNNNNNNNNNNNNNNNNNNNNNNNNNNNNNNNNNNNNNNNNNNNNNNNNNNNNNNNNNNNNNNNNNNNNNNNNNNNNNNNNNNNNNNNNNNNNNNNNNNNNNNNNNNNNNNNNNNNNNNNNNNNNNNNNNNNNNNNNNNNNNNNNNNNNNNNNNNNNNNNNNNNNNNNNNNNNNNNNNNNNNNNNNNNNNNNNNNNNNNNNNNNNNNNNNNNNNNNNNNNNNNNNNNNNNNNNNNNNNNNNNNNNNNNNNNNNNNNNNNNNNNNNNNNNNNNNNNNNNNNNNNNNNNNNNNNNNNNNNNNNNNNNNNNNNNNNNNNNNNNNNNNNNNNNNNNNNNNNNNNNNNNNNNNNNNNNNNNNNNNNNNNNNNNNNNNNNNNNNNNNNNNNNNNNNNNNNNNNNNNNNNNNNNNNNNNNNNNNNNNNNNNNUUUCAUAAUUUAAAAUGACUAAUAUGAAAUUUUGGAACUGUACUAAUAUCUAAAGUGAUAUAAACAUAUGGAAGGUUAUAUGUAUUAAAUUCUCAAGGAACAAUUAUGAUGUUAUAAAAAUAUAUGUAUAAAGGUGAAGUAAAAGGAAAAAAGAUUCUUACCACGACAAGAUCUAAUGUUUCUUUUCUAGUGUUGGAAGAUACAUGGUCACAAAGUCAAGUGCACGAGCACGGAUGACCAAUCAACUAAUAAAGCUAAAUCAAGGUGAUUAAAUUUUUUUUUAUUUUUACCCCAAAUUUUUUAUAUAUAUUCUCAUAAAUAUAAUAUAAUAAUCUAUGUUAAACAUGACGCAUAUCUCUCAUCAUCAUCAGCUCAUCAUAAGUUACCAUAUGUUAGUGUUCAUGUAUCACCUCGUAUUUUAUCUAUGGUUACAUCUCUACUGAUUCUUCUUCGUAUAUAAAUUCUAAAAGGGAUGAGAAAAAAUAGAGAAAUAUUUCUCAAAAAUAUAUAUGAGAUUUGUUUGGAAGUUUAGAUUAAUUCAAUGUAUCUACAGUUUAUUAUCACAUCAUUAGGAAUUUAAUUUUUUUUUUUCUGUAAGGAAGAAGUAUCAAAUCAUGUUUUUUUUUCUUAAAAAAAUAUUAUUAUUAUUAUUAUUAUUCAUCUGAAAUAUUCCACUGACAACAUAGUGAUCAAUGCUUCAUUCAGGUGAAAAGUAAAGAAAAAAUAUAUAUACGACGAUAUUUAUGCUCGAAUUAAAGUAUAAAUAUAAGUAUAAUAUCAUAUCAUAUAUUCAAAUAAAUUGCAUUGACAACAAUGAAUAUAUUUGAUUCACCAACGUGAAGAACGGUGCAGGCGAGUGAGAGAAUAUAGUAUGUUUCCGACAACAAAGAUCCGACACAUUGACUGGCUUUUCCCGUGGGAGAUGUGCUCCCACCACUGUCGAGAAGAGCCAACGCAGUAGUCUUCACGCACCUCCCCUUGCUUCGUUCCAAACGUCAGUCGACAGACGGUGUGAACGCGUCUGCAGCCUCUCUGUCAAAGCGAACGAGAGCUUAUCCAUGUCGUCGUCAUUCUGAUGGCUUAAUCCCCACGUGGCUCAACGCAUUACGUCACGUUUGUGUUGACCACACCGUUUGACUGCAUCGCCUUGGGUUUCAGCUGCUCGAGGGGGUCAGUGGAAUGGGUGUUUACUAAAAGACACUUUAAGUUGCAGUUGCUAACAAUGACACCAUUUAUUAUUUUUACGACUCUGAUUAGGUUCAAAUCAUUCGGAUGAUUAGAAAUCUAUUUUUUCAGCAUAUUAUAUAUAUAUAUUUAAAAUACUUUGGAUGGUAAUAAGAUUUUUCUCUCAAAAAUCGAGAGAAAAAGCUCUUCAAAAAUAUAUAAGAGUUUCGGACUGAUUUUGAUUAACUAAAGAGAUUAUUAUUCUUUAUUAUAUAUAUGUAUAUAUAAUGAAAAAUCAUGUGUUUUUCAUAGAUGUAGAUUAGGGUUACAAAAUCAUGUAAUUAAUUUUAUGUCGUAUUUUUUGGUUUAUUUCUUAAUUAUUGAUCUAAGAAUUUCUUCUUUUUUGGUAGCCCUUUUCCCUGUAUGUCCUCAUCCUUUCAUUUUUUGUUCACGUUUGUACCUUUUCAAUCUUGUCGAAUCAAACCGGAUGAGUCUUUUCCAAUCAUUUUGGAUGAGUUCGCACGCCACCGUAAAAUCCCUAAAAGGUGGUCAGAUAUCACUGCUGUCUAUCUCUGAGAAGAGACAUUCUCCAUCAUCACUAACCAGUCAACAAUAUAAGGCUUCUUCGCAUUUCUCCUUCCACUCACCCCAUUCGAUUACUUCAAUUAAAUUUCUGUGAUUUUGUUAUAUAUUUCUAUUGAAGAUAUUUCUAACAAAAGAUUUUAGAGAUCCAUUAUGUAAAUAUUUGUAUCUAAAAUAGAUAAUUUUUUAUGAGCUUAUGUGCUUUCACAGAAAAUAAUAAAAAAAACUGACUUAUCAAGUUUAUACAUCAUAUCGCUUUCAUAAGAAGCAUUAACUAAAAGAAAAUUCAACAAGAUGCACUAAAACAGCACCUCACUAUCCGACUCGGUGACUUGAUCUCAUCCUGCUCACCUACACACCAUUAAUGAGUGUGGGUGGGAUUGGGUCGAAUUCCUAGACCAGCGUAAUAGCAUGACAAGACAAUGACUGCAUCAGCCAAUAUCAACAGUGAAGAGUAACAGAGACGACAUUCUCAGCUGAACCAAGUCUUCGGGUGCGAACUAUUUCCAGGAAGGUGCAGAAGUGGCAUUACUCUUUUCAAGUCGGCAUUGUGAUUCCACGUAUAAAUGCUCCUGCGAAGCCUUUGAAAGUGGGCGUGUGUGUGUGUGUGUGAGAGAGAGAAAGAAAGAGAGAGAGAGAGAGGAUAGGAGAGGAGGAGAAACAGGAAAGGAAGAGUGAGAAGAGGUGAAUCUACCCAGCAUGGUGAGAUCUCCUUGCUGUGAGAAGAUGGGUCUCAAGAAGGGGCCAUGGACAACGGAGGAAGACCAGAUCUUGGUAGCUUACAUCAAGAGGUACGGCCAUGCCAACUGGCGAGCGCUGCCCAGACAAGCUGGUGAGCAAAUGAUUCUCCUCGAGAUUUAUCAUUCUUGGCUUGCUUAUGAGGAAAUGAUCGAGUCCUGACCAUGGCGGCUUCUCCGCGGCGAUGCUUCUUCUCAGGGCUUUUGAGGUGCGGGAAGAGUUGCAGACUCCGGUGGAUGAACUACCUGCGGCCGGACAUCAAACGAGGAAACCUCACCAAGGAAGAGGAGGAGACCAUCAUCAGAUUGCAUGAGAGGCUUGGGAACAGGUACGACACCUCCAUCCCCAAGCAAACACGAAUUCUGAUUCGGACGUGCGAGUCUCUGAUACGGUAGUUUUCUUCUUGUCGACAGGUGGUCCGCCAUUGCUGCCAGGCUACCAGGGAGAACAGACAACGAGAUCAAGAACGUGUGGCACACCCACUUGAAGAAGCUCGCCGGCCCCAACAUGGCUUCCAAGGAAUCACAGAGGAAGACGCCAGAUCGUUCCAUGGUGAAGAAGAAGAAGAAGGUAUCCCUGGACACGGGACACGAUACUGCAAGGCUUGUGUCGGUGUCACCAGAACAGUCAGACAGCGACUUCUCGUCCUGUGCCACUGAUUCAUCAACGGCAUCAGCAGAGAUCGGCGACAGUACUGUGGGCGUCAAAGAGGAAAGCUGUCCCGCGGAAGACUUGCAAGAGAUCGAUGAGAGGUUUUGGCUGGAGACGCUGUCGAUGGACGACUCCGCAGCGUCCAUGGACAUCACGAGCCUAGAAAUCCCUCCUCCUCCUCCUCCUGCAGUCACUGACCACUUCAACUUGCUCACCUCAUCCAACGGUGACGACAUGGAUUUUUGGAUGGAGGUCUUCAUGAGAACUGGAGAUUUGCAGGAACUGUCACAGAUCUAAUACGAACAUGGUCCUUUUAGAAUUCUUUUAUAGAAUAUUUUUGUGGCCUCGAGUCGAUCCAUUCAAGAUAGAAGUACCACACCAUCAAGCUUCAAUUGUGGAAGACAGAGAGGACAAAGCAAAGCUUGAUCCUUCGGUUCCAAGGUGGAUGACAGCUUACUCUAACCAUGUCAAGCAUGAUUUGAUCAAGUAAAAACAGAUUAUUCGUGACAUUUUUAAUUACCACUUGCUGCCUCAUGCGUUAGCUAUGGUGAUAGUUUAUUGGUUUCACUCAAAAAAAAGCUUCGAAGACCAAGUCUUGCAGAAGAUUACCACCGGGCUUUCAUUGAAAUCCUGUAACCUGGUCACGGAUGUGUGAUUUCAGCCACAUUUAAAUAAGCAUAAUCUAAAUCCACUAUCUACAUCUUUCUCUCUCUCUCUCUCUCUCUCUCUAUAUAUAUACAUAUAUAUAUUGGUUUGGAUUCCGAAUGUGCUGCAACCCGGGAGAUAGUUUACAGUUGUCGUCAACAAAAUGUGACCAAUUCAUUGAUAUCUAAUUAUUAGUUUGUCUGAGUGGCAUUCCACCAUAUCUAUCCUUAAUAGGAUUGGAAAUAACCUAUUUGCCCUUACAACAAAUUCACAUGAUUUGCAUGUAGAAAUUAACCAUCAAAAUUCAUCUUAAAAUUUUAAACUAAUCAUUAUUAAUAUUAGUUAGUUCUGAUUUAAAAGUUAUAAUAUUGUAAUGUUCUUAACAUUAUAAAGAGUUUUAGAAAGUAUUCAUGCCACUUAGAAUUGCAAAUACUCGAUGGAGGAAAAAUAACAUAUGGUCAUAUACACGUACUCUCAGACUCACAAAUACAUGUGAAUUCAAAAUAAAUAAGAAAGUCACUUUUGAGGUGUAUAUAUAUAUACAUGCAAUUUUGCCCCCUUUUUUUAUUCAAGAUAUAUUCAGACAAAUAAAUCUUAAACUGGAUUACUUUCCCCGUGACUUGCUACGGUCUACAAGACUAUAAAUCUUAACCUCAAAUAGCAGCAUUUUUACUGAUUCCUAUUCAAAACAUCAGUCGCCUUCCAUAUCCGAGCAACGAACAAUUUAAAAAUAAUCGACAACAACAGUAACAUUUUCCCUUAAUGUAUUUAUUUUCUUACUCUUAUAUUUUGCUCUUCCAAUAUCAAUCUCAGAAACCCCAUCUUCUUCGGGAACUGAGCUUAUUGACCUUAACUGGUACAUGAACAUCUAUUCUCAUGUAGAAUCUAACGUAUUAAAAAGUCCAAAUGCUACAAGAUAUGAAGUUGUAAUCCAAAUCUACUCCAUUACCAAAUAUGUAAAAACAUUAUCUAUUGUAGAUAUUUGGUAAGAUGCAGCCGACCUGGACUUCCCUAAAUUGAAUUUGUCACGGUGUCCUUUAAUACACGGCCUCAAUUUUCUCUCUCUAAAAAUAUUUGCAAUUAUCAACUUCAGCAAUUUUCAUCUAACGAAACAAACAAAAUAAAUACAUGACACUAGAACUAUGAUGACCAAUCCAGAAAGCCAGCGUUUGAAGAUUACACUACCAAAGAACAAAUUAAAAAUGAAUGCACAACUACAUAAAAAAAAUAUGAAAUGUCUAAGUAAUGCAAGACUACAGGUCACAGAAUAUCUAAAAGUUGCCCUGCAUUAUUUUUAUAUACCAUAAGCAUUUCAUUAAAAAGAAACUACAAUCAUAAAGAAAAAAAUAUUAAGUCAAGAAAAACCUAAUGCAUCUUUUAGUGAAACAUGCAAGCAAAGCAUCUAUUGUUGCAUACCUCAGAGUGCUCAAGUCCUGCUGGAAGCAGUAUUAGAUAACACAUAAGAUAAAACAUGUAUUCUUGCCUUGGGACAACAACAGGCCGAUCAUUGUCUACAACAGCUACAUUAUUCGAAGCUGAAUGUUACAGCAAAAACUGUGUCAAAACAGCCAACUGUCAUGAAAGCAAAAGUAAAUUUAUUCAAAACCUCCAAGAGCGUUUUUCAUGGGCGGCAACAGAGUCAACCCACAAGUAAAUGUGAGGAAAAUUUUAAGACAAGCAUGAAUAUGCAAGAGCCUUCUCCUCAGACAAUUCCUCAGCCGUUGCAUCCAAUUUCUUCCUUGAGAAUUCGUCAAUAGAAAGUCCUGAAAUGAUGGAACCAGAUACAUAAUGGCCAAUCAUUUCUUUUCUUUCAUAGUAUAUUAUUUUACAGCAAAUUCUUCAAAGUGCCAAAUAAAAGCUUUCUAGAGAAAUAUGUUAUAUACUUAAUUAACUGCUUACGAAAUUAAAAUAUGACUGGAAUAUAACAUACCUAAAGAAACUUGAAUCCAGGGAAUAAUAGCAAUGAACUUAAAUACUAUACUACUAAACUACAGGUCACAACUUUUUAUAUCUUUUUUUUUUAAUUUUGCCUAGUAUAUUUAAAUCAUACUUGUUUUCAUUUAAAUAGUAUAUAACAAGCAAUAUCAAAAGUUUAUGCCUUGAGAGGUGCACUACCUCUUUUUUUUCUUUUUCCUACCUGCCUUGGAAGUCACAGGACAAUCUACCAUCGUCAACCCACUUAAGUAGCCCUGCCAACUCACUGACUGCCGGAUCGAAGUGAUUGGCAAAAGUAUUUGGUAGUCAUUCCUUUCUAUCCCUUCCGGUAUAUCUUUCUUCCAAUUGAGUUAUUCCAGAUUACUUUUGAAGAGGCAUAAGCAAUCCAUGGUCCAACUCUUAGUCCCUCCCAGUUUUUUUUAUCCAUUCACUUCUUUUUGUGUGAAUUCCAUUUUGAAUUUAUACUACAGUUAUGGCCGGACUUCUACACCUCAAACUUUUGCCACCUUAACAUAGUACUAGAUCAUUUUGCAUCAACUCCAAAAAUAAUAUGAAGAAAAAUUCAAACAUUUUUAUGUUAAAAAAUCCUAAGACUAUUAACUUAUAUUACAUGAGCAACUAGUAGUAAUGGCAACACACUGAUACAUCUAGAAAUUAAAAGGCAUAGGCCCUUCCACAGGAUCAGGGAUUCAGAUUCAGGGUACGUCACUGAUUAUUUUAAUGCAAGUACUAUCAUGCUUGCUGUAAGCAUACUAAUCCAAGUUAAUGUUGUGGACUUAUAUUAUCUUAAAUAGCAUCACAAAAGUAUGUUGAGCUCUACCCCAUAUAAAAAGAAAAAAACAAGUACAAAUAUCCAUGUAAAUUUUGGCAUCUACAUAUUGCAUAUCUUACGGCAAGUAGGAAACAUGGAAUGUGACUUGUCAAGAAGAUUAAGUUAAAUGGUUCUUGCAGUGCUCAUUAUAAUUAAUCGGUAUGAUUCAUCUUGAAGAGUAAGUUGAAUGACACAUGCAUUGCUCAUUUCAAUUUAUCAGUCAUUCUCUCACUCUAAGAGCAAAAAGGCAUCACUAUAUUCAACCAAUCAAUCAUGCAUUUGAAUAUAAAAAUGCCAUAUAAAACAUCCUCAGAAGUUACACACCUUGGACGAUUGUCCACUCGCCAGCAUUGCAUGUGACAGGAAAAGAAUAAAUCAGCCCAGCCGGUACAUUGUAUGAACCAUCAGAGUAGACACCCAUGGAAACCCAUGUUCCCUGUUGCGAAGAUAGGAAAGAAUCAGGAUACACUUUACCCAAAUAGCAUUAAGUUCUAAAAAAAACACUACAGAAAAUAACCUCAGGGGUCCCGAGAACCCAAUCACGUAUGUGAUCACAAGCAGAACUGGCAGCAGAUAAAGCACUAGAAAGCUUUCGUGCUUUAAUGAUUGCAGCACCACGUUGUUGAACAGUUGUAAUAAAUUCUCCCUUGAGCCUGCGCCAAUAAGAUGCAGUGAUGAUUAUCUAGUCUAAUUUUAAAAGUUUUGAGAUGAUUUAUAAUCCAGAUCUGAAAAAAGUAAAUUUGAAAAAUGUUAUCAUACCAGUCAUCAUCAGAAACAAGCUGACGAACAGGCUUUUCUCCACUUGGUGUUUUAACAGUUGCAUGACUUACAUCAGGAUACUGAGUAGAAGAAUGAUUUCCCCAGAUGAUGACGUUCUUCACAUCACUGACUUGAACAUUUAGUCGCUCAGAAAUCUGACCCAGUGCCCUGUUGUGAUCUAGCCUUGUCAAACAAGUGAUGUUUUUUGCAGGGAUGGAAGGAGCAAACUCUUUCAGUAUAAGAGCAUUAGUGUUUGCUGGAUUUGCCACAACCAGCACCUACAAGGCAAGAGAUGAAGGAUUCAAGCAGAAAAAAAAAACAUCAAGCACUGGUAUGCUAUUGAUAGGAAAUACACAUACAUUUCAAGUAAAACUGAAAGCAUUUUUGUUGAAUCUUACAAACAGAUUGCAAAUGCAAUUACUCAAAAUAAUACCUUGCAGUUCGGAGCAGCAUAUGCCUCUAAGGCUGAAGCUUGAGAUUUAUAGAUGGAAACAUUUUUUGACAUCACAUCCUUUCUCUCCAUUCCUUCCUUCCGUGGGAACCCACCAACCAUAACAGCUAUGUUGACUCCAGUGCAAGCCUCCACAGCAUCAGUUGUGGCCACGACACCUAAUUUAUUAUUGUAAGAGUGGUUAAUUAGAAAAACAAGAUAAGAAUAAGGACAUAUAUGGAUUGGAUAAUAUCCAACAUGAAAGGAAAAUAAUACCCUUAAGAAGAGGAAAUGCUGCAUCAACCAGCUCCAUCCUAACUCCAUUUAGAGCUUCUGCAGCAGGUGGAAUGUCAAGCAUGUGCAAGAUAACAGGUUGGUCUGGGCCAAGCAUCACACCCCGAGCAAUCAUUGGCACGAGUGCAUAUCCAAUUUGUCCUGCAACCAUAAAGUAUAUGAGUAAAUUUAAGUUUUUUACAACUAAUUAAGUAACAGAAAAUGAUUGAAAAAAUCAAUUUCAUAUGAAACAAAGGUAUGUAACACUUAUCUACUUCAAUGAAGACAAUUUUUUUUCUUUUUUUGACUUGUGAACAGACUUUGGUGGAACUAAAGACAUUUUUUUCAGCAUUUGGGUGAUAAUUAGCAAAAGCUAUCAAGCAUAUUACAAACCAGAAAAGAUGAGGACCAUUUGAAGAUGGACAAAUAACAGAAGUGUCACCAUGAAAAGACUAUGAUUAAAAAUUAAAUAAAUCACAGUAAUACAAAAGCUGAAAGAUCUCUCACACAAAUAAUCAACUCUCACAUGUAAAUACCUGUCUUAACAACCUUUGCUAGCUUUUGAGAAGCCAGCUUAGGCAGGUUAAGUCACUCGAGCAAAGACAAAUAGAAUUGAUGGAUUACCAAAAAUUGGGCAAAAAAACCUGUCUUAAUAACGUUUGAAGUAAAAACCUGUCUUAACAACCUUUGCUAGCUUUUGAGGAGCCAGCUUAGGGAGGUCAAGUCACUCGAGCAAAGACAAAUAGGAUUCUAUAGUGCGUGAAGAUAAUAAACCAAAAAGACUGUCUAUAUAAACAACGUUUUGAAAAAUUGAUGAAUAACAUGUUCAUGUAGACAAAUAACCACAUAUUAGCCAAAAGAAUACACAAAUGAUAUAUUUCUUGCUGGCAAGAGAGUACAUGAUUAUUCGGAACAAGGACAAAAUCAAGCACAUCGUUUCUUUCUUCUUCUCGAGAUGUGUUCACACAUAAACGAUUUAGAACGUAGCAAUGACAUAGUAUUCAAUUAUUGGGUAGUGCUUUUGGAUGUUACCAAAAUGAACAAGUAUUUCAAAGUUAAAAAAAAAAGACUUUCCGACAAGAUCAACUGAAAAAUCAAUCCCACCCCGAAAAAACAACCAAAAAAUAAGCGAACGACAAACACCAAAAGAAAGUGAAAGGAACCCCAAAUCACGGUUAGACAGCUCCUGAUCUUCCUCCGGAAGAAAAAAAAUCCGAAAAGUCGAAAUCAAAGAGACCCGAUUUAGCAAUUAGCAUAUCAAAUUGUUAGAUCAAUAACUAGAAAGAAAAAAAUCGAUCUAAGACCCUGAUGCGUUCAAAGUGAGCAAAACGAAAGCACCCACAGCCAAGUGAUUCAGAAAACCAAAGAAGAAGGCAGCUGCACACGCUACGUCGAUUCAGAUCCGACAUCCGGAAGCCUAAAACCAAUCGGAUCUGAGAUCUAUGACCGAUUAGACCAAACAACCCCCGAUCACGAAGUAGAAUAGAUCAAAGGAUGAUAGCAGCCAAAGAAGAACCGAGAUCUAUACCUGCAGCUCCCGUAACAAGAACUCGAACGGGAUCUUUCGCCAUUGAGACGCCGAGAAGAUGCCAACCAAGCAACAAAGGCGAUAACCUAAAAAAGAGGGCUAAUGGAGAGUGAGGCUGCGCUUGGAAGAUAGUGAAGGAGUGAGGAUAGGGUACCUAUAAAGGCGAAAAGAACCUGGCAAUGGACGGACGGACGGAUGGAGAGAUCGUUUGCUGGACGGUUGCAUGCGCCUGGGACUUUCAUAAUGGACGGAUUAGAUUCCAUCUACUGACAGAGGGCCAGCGAUGGACGGUGGAUAAAGCGUUUCUUUACGCCAACAAAUCACCAAUAAACAAAUAAAAAGCUUUAAUUCAACAAUAAAAGCACAAAAGAAGGAAAAAGUAUAACGAUCACCCAAACAACCAAAGUGACCGUCUUAAUCACUAAUGACGCUUUAAUAUAACCAUAACUUAUUAUUUUCGAAUUAUGAUCAUAUAGUUCUUACAACCGAUCGUAAUGGACAUCAAUUAAACUCGGCAUGCUUUUACUAAUCCGUACUCCUACUCGUGUUUACCACCUCUUUAUAAUUGAGUUUAAAAUGGGAAACUAUAAGUGGGUCUACUGCGCUCUCCAAUAACAAGGCAGGUAGGUAUAUGAGUAAUUAAUGAACAGAAAGAAAAGCUUGUUUAAUUAUAUAAAUUGGAUAAUAUUUAUAAUAAUAUUAAUCCGCGCACUAAGUUUAUCAGUCAUUAUUACAACAUGAACCCCAUGUUACUUUUCCAACUACCAAUGUGUCUUUUUCCAUACUAAACACUCGUGGAUCUCGUCUUGCACCACUAAAGAUGAAGUGUUAAUAUAUAUAUAUAUAUANNNNNNNNNNNNNNNNNNNNUAUAUAUAUAUAUAUAUAUAUAUAUAUAUAUAUAUAUAUAUAUAUAUAUAUAUAUAUAUAUAUAUAUAUAUAUAUAAGUUUAUAACGAGACAAACAAAGACCCAAUAGGUUUCGGACUGGGCUCGUUUCUCGCUGUGUAUAUAUAUAAGUCGGUUUUCCUUUCCUCGUCUUCCUUAUUGACGUCCCAGUGAGCAUCGACGGGCAUCGACAGCGAAAUAGCGGCGAAAGGCUUUGGUAAGUCAUCAUCCCUCCUCUCCUUCCUCUUCCUUCGUCCGCCACUCAUGCGCAUGCCUUACCCUUAUUUUGUUCACGCCCUAGCCCUAACCUUAUACCUGUCUCUUAUUUUUGGACCUGGAUCAAAUCAUUAUACCUUUUCCUGAUGUGCUUCCAUUUCUUUAGCAUGAUUGUUUGGUUUAAUUCCAAAGACGUUUGUUUGAUCUUGUAAUUUACAGGUUUGAUUCGUGACCCCCUUUAAAGCGGAACAAAGCAGAGUGCGCGCGCCCUUCAUGGCGACGGCUUCAGGUAUAUUUCCAUCUCUUGUUCGUCUUGGAUUCUUAUGGUCUAGUCCCCCAUCUUUGAGCUCUGUGGGGAUCAGGUUUAGUUGUGGUGUUUCUUGAUUGGAAGUGUGCGGUGACUAGGGAUUAUAUGGUGUCGGUUAUGGCUGUUGUUUAUUUUGGUUUGGCCUAUAAUUAGGGUUUUGCCUUUGUGAAACUCUGCAUCUAGAAUUUGUAAUUUGUAUCACCUGAAAAGAAUUAUAGUUCUCUGUGUGCUAUUGACAUAAUUAAGUGAUUUAAUCAUGGAACUUUGUUAUUCUUAGAUAUAAACUUUGUGCUUCCCCUUUCCCUUCACUGAAAAGUUACCCCCACUUUUUAGUUGGGGUAUUGCUGUGGUUUCCAGUUUCUGUUUGGCUGUGAGUUUGAUGGUUUUGGCUAGUAUGGUUAUAUUUGUGUUGUUUUAGUUGUUUUUAGCUGGUGAUACCAAUUUUUUUAUUUUUAAAAUUUCUUUCGCAUUAUUUGGAAAAGACUAUUAAAUUCAUCAGGUUCAUGGUUGUUUACAGAAAGUUGUGUUUUCUUUUAUCUAGUAUAUUUUAUUUGAUUUUUUUUUAAUUGAGAAAGAGGGAUUUUUAGCAUUUCUGUUUCUAGUCUUCAUAUGUGUCUGAAAACUUCUUUUCGUUAUCCAUAUAAUUUUCUUCAGAGUAAUCUACUAUAUGCUCUUAUUGCCAUAUUCUGAAUAACUUCAUCUUAGUAUAUUAUGUUAUAACUAUUAACACUGGACUAGACUUUCCAUCUCAAUGAAAAGUUUUGGUUGGUCAAAUGAUGAUGAAAUAAUCCUUGAGAUUAAAAGAAAAUUUCCUUCUUAUUUGAGAAGAUUAUCAUGCCAUGUGGUUCAUAUGAACUCAUAGCAUAUGUUAAUGUGCUGACUUUUCUGGAAUUGGUGUGGUGCUGCAUGUUUAUCUUAGAUCUUUUUUCCUUUGUCAUUUUGGGGUUAAGACAAAGUAGAUCCUAGAUAUUGGAAUGUAACCUGUCUGAAAAUUUUCUACUGAUAUAAAAAAAAAAUCAGUAGAAAAAUAUGGAGACAAAAGCAUCUGGCUUUCAUCAUGAGCCUGAAGCAGUGCUCUCAUCUCAACAACACCACCAGGCAAUAGAAUCAUAGGAUCCACUGAAGCUGGUACGGAAGAAUGUUGCAAGAAACUUGCAACAUUGUUGGCACUCAUGCCGCCAUUUUCCUCCUCUGCCAUUCAGGCCAUUUUACCAUAUCAGUGAGCAAUUAUGAAGUCUUCCCUUUCACCUUUACCAUAGGUUUGAAGGUUUAGUGAAGUGAAGGCUACUGACCUCCAACUUUUAUUGCUUGGCUGAAAGUUCACGUCACAUAUCAGAAGGAAAACUUUGUUUCUUAUUCGAAGGCUUUGUAUAUUUCUCUAUUAUGGACUUUAUACAGCAGAUUUCAAUUAUAUAUAAUUAAUUAAUUAAUCUUUUAGAAAGAAUAUGGAUGCAUGUUUGGUGUCAUAUGAUUAUUUGCUGUUGUGGAUGGAUAGGUUGUCUCCAUGUCAUACUAGGCCAAGAUUCCCACCCCUAAUGGCAUGCAUAUACUUACAUGUGUUUUAAGCAAUUGCUACGUUGUGACAAAUAUCAACAUUGGAUAAUUGAUUGAAUAUGUUAAUCUAAAAGCAUUCAUAGUUGAAGAGACAUAAGUAGCUGGAGAUAGUUUGAUAGAUUCUAUUGUACUUCUUUAUAUGAAACUGUCGACAUAUUGUUCUCAUAAUCAUUUUGAAGAUUUCUGCAAAAAGACUGAUAUGCAUUAGUUAGAUAAAAAAAACAUGGAAAAAAAGAGGAGUGGUCAUAGGAUGGUGAACAAAAAGAACACAAAUGGAAAAAGUCUUGGUUUUCCAACUUGAAUUUAUCUGGAUUUUUUUGGAUCCAAAAACUUAACUUAUUACUCAACUUUCUAUCCUUAAUUGUUCCUAGGUUUCUUUUCACGGAAAUCAGGAGAUGCAAUGAGAUUGGUUGGUACCUGAGUUGCUUUAUGUAUUUGCUAUGAGAAUUUAGCCAUUUAGGAUUGAUAUUCUUUUGAUCUGGUUGUCUCUGGUUGCAUUCCUAUGUCUGUAUGCCAUAUUAGAUUUUUGUAUUUGAUUUUUUCUUAAAUUUUAUUGAAUUUUUAGAACAUUCUCAUUCUCGUCAAGUUUGCAUUUUCCUUGAGACUUAGGGUUCUAACGUUGCAUAGAUCAUUAAACCUUUGUCUCAAUGUUUUGAAAAUUGUUUGUUACAUGGUGAAAUAUGAAGUAGCAUAAAUUAAAAUAAUUCAUUUUCUUUCAUUUUCCUUGCAUGUGCAUUUAGCUUUUUCUAAUGGAAUACGGAAAUAUAGUAGUGGCCAGAAGAUUCAUAGAAUCUUUUAUACAUGUCAGUGCCUAGUGCAAAUUUUGAUGCUUAUUAUGUAUAUUCAUAUGCUAGCAAACACAUCAAUACAUGGAAAUUCAUGAAUAUACAAAAUAUAACAAUUAUCAAGUGUCUCAUAAAGUAUGAUAAUUUCUUGUCAUGCUAAUGAUUAUGGACCAAAUUUGUUAAAUUUUUAGCAUAUUAUUAUGCACAAAAGAUUGUCAUUCUGUAACAGAAGGGGUAUUGAUAACUUUAUGUCAUUGUGUGAUUUCUGCCAUGCUGCUCGGUCGACCAUGUCGCUGGCAUGGGUCAGAUCAACUGGCAUGGACCGAAAAGUGGCCUAGCUAGUAUCUCGUCGGGCCUAUGCUGACACAUACCAAUCAUCAUGACAAUCCUAUGGUACAUAAUGCAUGGGCCGGAUCAAUCAGCAUGGACCAGUUAGUGGUAAGCUAUUUGGUAGAUCAUCCAACCUUUGCUGACAUGUUGGUAAUCACGAAAUUUUAUAUUCUGUGAACCAUCUAUUUGCAGAAGUUUGAUGGAAUUGUAUCUAUCUCCUGUGUAAAUGUUUUAUUAAUGUAGUUUCUUUGAUACAUUUUGAUCUCUUUACUGCAGCAUCAUUCAAAUCACGAGAAGACCAUAGGAAGCAACUUGAAUUGGAGGAAGCACGUAAGGCUGGGCUUGCUCCAGCUGAGGUUGAUGAAGAUGGAAAGGAGAUCAAUCCACAUAUUCCUCAAUAUAUGUCGUCAGCUCCUUGGUAUCUUAAUGCUGAGAGGCCUGUAAGUUUCUUCAUGAAAAUUCAUUGUGCUUCUCACUUAAAAUCUUCUUUCUUAGGAAAUUAGUAACCUGUGCCCAUUCUUUUCCUAUAGAGCUUGAAGCAUCAGAGGAAAUGGAAGUCAGAUCCAAAUUACUCCAAAUCAUGGUAUGAUAGAGGUGCAAAAAUUUAUCAGGCUGAUCGAUACAGAAAAGGUGCAUGUGAAAAGUAAGUUCAUUAUCUUUAGCUUAUGUUAUUGGCACUUUAAGUAGCACAAGGCGUUGCACUAUAAACUAUUAUACUUUUCCUAAAGUCCUGGUUUUUUGUUGUUGAAUCAAAGAAUUAUGAUCCUAUACUGUUGAUACUCUUGAUUUAACAAGAGGUUCUUAUAAUUUAUUCAAAAUUGUUAUGCCAUACAUUGUUUUGUAACUGCUUGAUGUUUGAUAAAUUCUCUUCAAUGUUGUAGUUGUGGGGCAAUGACACACGACAAAAAGUCCUGCAUGGACAGGCCUAGAAAACUGGGAGCCAAGUGGACAAACAUGCAUAUAGCUCCCGACGAGAAGAUUGAGUCAUUUGAACUUGAUUAUGAUGGAAAACGUGACCGUUGGAAUGGUUAUGAUGCUUCCACUUAUUCUCGUGUAAUUGAGCAGUAUGAGGCUAGAGAUGAAGCCAGGCGGAAGUAUUUGAAAGAGGAACAGUUGAAGAAACUAGAGGAGAAGAACAACAAAAAGGCUGAUGAGGAUGGUGGUAGCGAUGACGACGACGACGAUGAUUAUCUGAAAGUUGACGAGGCUAAGGUUGACGAGAGCAAACAGAUGGACUUUGCAAAGGUGGAGAAACGUGUGCGUACCACUGGGGGUGGAAGCACUGGAACUGUCAGGUAAUUUGAUAUGAAAACACAGGAACUUUGUGAGCUUUGCAAUUAAACAUUUGCUGCCACUGGAUUUACUAGGACUUGUAUGCAUAAAUGUAAGUCGUUUGUUCUUUCAGGAACUUGCGUAUUAGAGAGGAUACUGCAAAGUACCUUUUGAACCUAGAUGUGAAUUCGGCCUAUUAUGACCCGAAAACCCGUUCUAUGCGUGAAGAUCCUAUACCUGACAGUGAUCCAAAUGAGAAGUUCUAUGAAGUGAGUUUGCAUUGUCUUUCUAAAACAUAUGUCAAGUUUCUUCCAUCUUUCUGCUUUACAAUAAAUAACUUAUUUUUUUAUGAUUUGCCAUAUAGGGUGAUAACCAAAACAGACUUAGCGGACAAGCACUGGAGUUCAAACAGCUUAACAUCCAUGCCUGGGAAGCUUUUGAGAAGGGACAGGAUAUCCACAUGCAAGCUGCCCCUUCUCAAGCAGAACUACUCUUUAAGAAUUAUAAGGUUAUCAAGGACAAGUUGAAAAACAACACAAAGGAUACCAUCAUGGAGAAAUAUGGAAAUGCAGCAUCUGAAGAAGCAUUACCUAGAGAACUUCUUCUUGGACAAAGUGAGAGAGAGGUUGAGUAUGAUCGUGCUGGUCGAAUAAUAAGAGGCCAGGUACGAUAUCUUGACAGGAGAUCUUUUUGUUGUCUUAUUUGAUUACUUUUAGAAGUCAGUAAUGCUUUGUUAUCCUUAGAAGUCAGUAAUGCAUUGAUAUCCUAUAAUUCCUAUUAUAGAUAUUCAGCAAUUGUUAUGUUACAUAGAGACUUUUUCUCUGCAUAAUAUUUGGUCAUAUUCUGCCAUUAAUUGAAUUUGGUUUCCUCAGCAUCUUAUAACAAGAUAUUUUUGGCUAAUUAGAUCAUUAGGUAGUUUUCGGUCUUAUUCUGCUAUUAUUUGAAUUUGGCUUUCUCUGCAUCUUAUAACAAUAUUUCUCUCACUAAUUAGAGUAUAAAUGUUGGUUACUUGUAGGAGACCUCCCUUCCCAGAAGCAAAUAUGAAGAAGAUGUCUAUAUCAAUAACCACACCACAGUUUGGGGAUCAUGGUGGAGGGAUCACCAUUGGGGCUACAAAUGCUGUAAACAAACCAUCCGCAAUAGCUACUGCACAGGCUCAGCAGGAAUUGAAGCUGCUGAAGCUGCAACAGAGCUUUUGAAGGCAAAUAUGGCUCGUAAAGAAGAUGCAGAAGGUCAAUAUGAUAGAAAUUUUCAUACUUUCCAUAACCAAUUUAAAAAUAAGAUCAUUCUUCGUUUUUGACAUUGUCUUCAAGGUCAUGACAAUCUCAUUGGCAUUUUCCUGCUAAACAUGCCAAUUUGAAGAAUUCUUCGAAUUCAUGUUCAUUUCCAAGUAGCAUAAAUCUAUAGAGUUUAAGACAAAGGGAGAGAGGGAAGAGAGGCAUCAAAUGCCUGCUUGGUUCAGAGCAGCUGGACUGUCAUUCAUAGUGAUGGCAGUGAGAGAGAGAGGAUGAAAGUCAAAAUCAGAGACUAGAGACUUCAUGGUCUGAUUUGGUAUACAAGGCAUUGGGGUUUGAUUUUGUUGGUUCAUUUUGACAGCCCUCUUAGUGCUGAGCCGACUUCGAUUAUCGUGGAGGUUUUUGGCCAACCUAAGCCUUGUUGGUUGAUUUUCUGUAUAAUGGGUUGGUUUGGACUAGCUUACUGGACUCCUACCUUUCAGAGAGCUGCAGUUUUCUAUAAUUACCCCAUGACAUUGUUUGUAACUACUAAAUUCAAUGCGAAGAAGUACCAAGUGAACUGACUGCUUAAGAUUUUUCUAGAAGUGCAUGACCAGACAAGCUUAAUACAUUUUACGACUGAAGUUAUCUCAGUCUGGCAGGCCAUUUCAUAUUAGUUCCAUGUUUUCAUUUGAUAGCGAUCGGUUUCUACUUUGUUGCAUGCUGUUUGGUUCUCAUCUUCCUUUCUUUUUCCUCCUUUCUUUUUAGGUGUGUCAUCGAUAAUCUUCUAUAUCACCUUCAAUUUUCUCAUAUAAAAUGUUGGUGUCCUGGUAAAUGGCAGAAGAAAAGAGAAAAAUGAAAAGGUGUUCAUGUUCAACAUCAGUGCUCAUCUUUAUGUUCCGUUUGACUUAAAAAAUCUUGAACUGAAUUAACUAGAGCUCACUUGUUCAGUUUAGGUUUUUUAUGCUCAAUUUAGGUAGUUGCUUUAUACAAGUUUCUUUUAGGUUAUUAGCUUCUUUGAUGUAAAUUACUGUAUCAUCGAGAAAUUCCAUGGUAUGUAGGAGUAUCAAUAUUAUAACUACUAUCGAUACCAUCCCCUUUUUCGUAUCUUCAUGAAAGUGUGACAAUCUUUCUUCGAUGCAAGGAUCCAUGAUUAUUGGAGCUCAGUUUCUUUUUGAAUGUAUGAAAAAUAUGGUUUUGGGCCUCUAAGGUUUUUCCUAGUUUAUUUUAGUUCUUCAUUUAUAUUUAUUUAUGACAUUGAAUGUGCUAAUAUAUGCAUUUUGCAGAUAAGCCUGUACAGCAUGAAGAAAAGCAGCUUGCCACUUGGGGAACUGAGGUCCCUGAUGAUCUUGUUCUAGAUAAAAAGUUGCUGGCAGAAGCACUGAAGAAGGUAGAUUAGUGGCUCUUACUUUUGUUUACUUGUGUGCUUUUUGUUAAUUCAUUGAUGCUAAAACUAACUUUCUGUUUGUACAGGAGGAUGAACGAAAGAAGGAAGAGAGGGAUGAAAGAAAGAGAAAAUACAAUGUCAAAUGGGAUGAUGAGGUACUUAAUUCACAAAUCAAUUCUUAAUUGAUGCACUAAAAUAUGUUUUCAGAAUCACAAGAUCCUAAAGCUUCAUAGGAACCUGAACCAAUAAAAAUAAAUGAAAAAUGAAUACCAACUGACUACACUGAGUUAUAUGGUAAAUUGUGGUCCCUGGCUAGACUAGUACCAGAUGAUGGAUGGUACAUAUACCCGUCCCGCUAGCAUUGUUGAACAUUAACGCCAUGGCAAGCGGAAGCUGUGAUCUUUUUAUUCGUAGGUGAAGUUUUGCUGCAAACACAUGAUCGGAAGGAAAUCCUUUAAUUAUGACAAUAUUGUUGAUUUUUGUGGGGAGGUGGAUGGGAAGUCUAAUUCUCUUAUGAUUUUAUGUCCAUGCAGGUUACCGUGGAAGAUAUGGAGGCCUAUCGAAUGAAGAAGAUCCAUCAUGAUGACCCAAUGAAAGAUUUCCUCCACUAAUUAUAAUAUUAUUAUUAUCCUAUAGGGUCCUCCUGUGUGUAUGUAUAUAUACUGAGAUUGUUGGACUAGUUGCGAUUGGGUUGACUAGGAGUCCCCUGACAUGACUUGUAUGGCUGGAUGUUUUACCAACCGUUGAAAUGACAGAUAUAUUUCAUCUCUUUUUUUUUAGUUAAUUAAACCUAUAUAAAAAUGAUUCGGUUUGUAAUCCUAAAUUAAAUUUUUUUCGUGCCAGCUGUGUAUGUAGGCCUAAAAUUGGACCGGAUGGGGAACAUGACCGCUAACUGGUUUGACUGCCGAACCGAUUUCCCGGUUCGAUCAGGUGUCAUCAAUCAGCACGAUAUCAUAAUUCUAUUUAUUUUUUAAAAAUUUAAAAAAUAAAAGGUAAAUUAUUAUUAAAAAUUAAAAAAAUAAUGGUUGUUACCAAAGUGAGUUUGAACUGAUUGAUUGGUUUGAGUGGUGUUGGAUUUCCAAUCAAUGUAGUCUUUUCUUUCCAUAGGAAGAUUUGGGAACAAAAUAAAAGAUGUAAAAUAUAAUAUCAUUUUCUUUCUAGUGUCAUGGUAUGAUUUCUGUGCUAAUCCACCACCAUGGCAAGCUUGUCGCUAAUGACGUUGAAUGCUUUGUCGUGGAGUCAAAAAAUGGUAGUUUGUCGUCUCAGUAAAUAUAAGAAGAAAAUGUACUAUAAACUUAUUUCAGUAAUAAAAUAAUUAAUUAUGGUAAGAUUACUUCUUGAAGAAAGAGUCUCUUCUACUGUUCCUUUCUGAUGACACUAACAAAUUCUCCUUAACCUACUAUCGUUAUCCAUGUUGGAAUUCAGAUAAAAUUGUGACUCAAAAUAUGUAACGUCAAACUCAAUAAUAGGCAACUAUUUAUAUAUUAUGUAUCCUAACACUCUUGCUGGCUAUAUAACACACACGAUAGACAUAGAAACAACAACGCGUACAUCUUUUCAGAUGUAUUCCGUGACACCAAGAAUGUCUCAGGUUGAAUUGAUUCGUUCAUUGAUGGAUUGGGUUUAUGUAGCAUCAACAUCAUCUGGAACACUUACAAGCAACUUCCUUUCCCUUUAAAUCUGUAAUAUACCAACAUUCUUUUUCUUCGAAGAAUCAUAUGGCGUGAUUUACUGAGUUAUACAUAUGCCUUCCACAGCUUUAUGAUUUCCACAGUAGCAUCAUCAUUUUAUUUUAUCUCUAUCCUUGUUCUUUUUAUAGUCUGAUGAGCUGCUUAAUUAUUUUCAUGAAAAUAAUGUGAAAUAGUGUGAAAAGUAAAUUGUUAUAUAAUUGGUUUGAUGUUGACUAUUUGACAUAGAAUGUGACUAGCAUGCUAGAUAAAAACUUUUGAUCAUAAUUUUAUUUUUUCUUUUUAUAAAAGAUAAAUGAGGAAGGCGGAAUUAUAUACCAAACAUCUUCAACCUUAUUAAUUUAUGCCAAGAAAGAUUGAUAUGUCGAUAUUAGAAAACCUCGAGGAGGAGUUAAUGAUGUUGAUAUAGAUAGUUGUUGAUCCCUUUUGGGCAUAGUAGCAUCAUGCUCACUAAAUAUCUAAUAACAACAGUGAACUCGUUUGGUCCUUUAGCCACAUUAUGCAUGAGAUACCUUCGAUUCAUUUGCACCGAGGACUGGUUUUCAUCCUCCAUAAGAACUCAUAUGGGCAUGCACAAUGGUAAACAAGUGGUUCGUAGUCCAGUCUUCUAAGGCAUUUUAAGUUCAUCUUGAUUUCUAUAAGAGAAAGAAAGAAGAAGAGAGUGUGAGGGAAGCUUUGUAAAAAGGGGGUAUAAAGGUUCUCUCCUAAGCGUACAAAAGGAGAAUAGAGUUAUAAGAAGGAGGUUGAUCUUCGUCUAUUAAAGAAAGAUCGUUAGUGUAUGCCAGUGGCCUCGACGAAUGAGGAAUCAGUGGAGUGAAUGUAGGUCACGAUGAUCGAACCACUAUAACUUGGGUUGCAUUUACUUCUUGCAAUUUACAUUUACUGCACACUGCCCUUCUUUACUUGCUUUAUAUCCACUACACUCUUCCAUAUGCUUUCAAGUUAAUAUCUUCCGAAAUAGGUUUAAUCGCAAUGAGAUUUUCAAACUGACGUAAUUUUUACCGCUGCACUAAUUCACACCCCCCCUAGUGUCGACUUGUUCCUAAUAGGUCUCAUAGCUACUCAUGUGGGGACACUAAGGAUACAAUAUAAGUGCUCAUUAGAGAAUGAGUUCACUAAUUGAUUUGCUUAUAAAAUGCUAGAUGGUUGAUAAUACCUUAUUGUCAGACAACGAUUCCGUCAUCCCAGUGGUGUAUCUAGUCUUUAGACUUGAAACACCAAGAAUAUCUUGUAUGAGUACUCUACUCUUUGAUACCGGAGUAAUAGGUUUGGAAGUUCUAAAUCUAGUAUAGCCAGUUAUCGAGAGUGGCAACCAACCUUACGAGGGUUAUUAAGUAUCGAUAGAGGAUCAUCUACAUUUAGUAUUAUAAAAGGAAUAUCUCAUGUAUUUUUGCUUAGACAACUCCUUAGCCAGGGUCAUUUGGAUUGAGAGAAAAAGAGUUCUCCGGGAGAAUCCGAUUAGAGCGAGACUCGAGUAGAAAUUGUAUGAGCCUAAUAACACCAUACCCAGUAUAUAUUCUCUGGGAUAUUAGAUGUAUGAGGAACUAUAGGUAUGUUGGGGAUAAAGGAGCAAGAAAACGAUAAAAAUAUAAUACUAUGAAGCAAUUAAAAAAAAUCUUUUCGAUCAAGAAAACAAUUGUAGUAUUUAAAUAAAAGGUAAGAUAAGAACACUUAUAAAAUAUUCCCAACUGCACACUCACCCUCUUGCUUCAUGAACUAUGGUCUUAUUUAUAGGACCUAGUGGUAACUACCUCACUCCCUAUGUCACCCAUGAUUGAGGUAGUUAUAGGAACUACCCUAUAACUUUUAGAUCAUGGGCCACUUCUUGAAACAUGCCUAAAAUUAUCCUGAACAUGAUAACUAUCUAGAUAACUAUCAUGAAUCAAUUCUCAACACUCCUCUUUGAUUGAUAAUUACAUACAUCGAUUUACGACAUGAAAUAAGUAUGCUGAUGACGAAUCUAUGUAGGUAGGAGCUCAAAAUCAAAGAGCUGUAUCUUCCACAGCUUGGAAACAAACAAGGUGGUCAUUAAUGGAUGUGUCAACUCCAACGAAAAGACCAUGAGAACCAAUUAUCCUAGGAAAAGAAAACAGAAACCAAGAAUCACUAUCGUUCUUAUUGAUCUUCUUCGACUCAAGGAAUUUCUUGUGCAGCAGACCAAGAAAAUUUAUGGGAGGGAAACAGUAGCGGUUGCAGGAAACAAAGCUUGAGAUCGGAGGAGAGGAAAGCAAACAAAAGGGGAAUCCAGCAUUCAUGUUCCGAGAAAUCCUUCAUCCAUCCUGACAUGGCACAGUAAAAUAUCUUUCUUCUCUCGGUCUGUCUUCAGUUCCGACACCAUUAAAUGAGAGAAGCUUCACCGCUACUACAGCUCGGAAGGCGUUUGGAUCCUUUACAUCAUUUUGUUUGUCAGCGAAAGCAGAGAUGUUGUGAGCAUAAACAAUAGGGUUUAGGGUUUAUGUGAUAGUUGGCAGAGAGAAUACUUAUAUCAUCUUCAUAUAAUUCGGGUGCCAUCGGAGAUCACCAAAAGAAAUCCAGUGGACUGUAUCACUCACACACCCCUGAAACAUGGUAGGCUGAUGAUGAUGAUGAUGAUGAUGAUUCGGACCCUCACGAACUGGCCUUGUCGAUCAUCGUUCUUCGACAGGUUACAUCAUCCCUGAAAUUUCCGAUGGUGGUUUCCAAAAGCCGACCUCAGGCGGCCCCCCAGCGAAUAUGAUUCUUUUGCUCCUUCCACCGCCUAUACAAGUCUUUGGAAUUUGUAGGAUCGGUGGGUAAGAACAGUGCAAACGUCAAAGCGUGAUCAACUGUUCCUGUGGACGCAACCAGCCGAAUCGGGAGCAUAUAUUAUGGGGAACCGAAGCAUCAUGAUCCGUCCCUGAAUUCCACGUUGAGAAGCAGUGGGGAGUUGGUGCGUUUAGAGGAGGAAGAUGGAGAUUAGUGAGGAAAUAGAGAGAUGUUAAUGGGAUGAUUCCAUAAUGAAGAUAAGUUCGUUUCAUCCCCAAUAUCACAGCCCCCACCAGUGAUUACUUUUUAUCUUGUCACAUCACCUUUCGUCCCACUGUCAAGCUUUGUCUCCAUUGACACAGAAGCCCUAGCUGUGCACCGAUGCACUUUCUCUCUCACUCAUUCAGCUCGUUGAUUUUUCUCAUUGGUGUAGGCAAGACCUGCCCAGAAAUUGAGCAGGAUUCUCGAUCUCCUUUUAUUAGGCCGAGCAAGAGUUCCACGGGCUUUGGGACUCCCCUCUUGUGUACAGAAGAAACAUGUAGGCUUUCGGAAUCUUUUCUCUCGUAGCCAGACAUCAGCCACUGGAAACAGUAAGCUUCUCUUACCUCUCGUCUUUCCUUCCCGUUCAGAUGUGAUCCCCUGAUCAUGGCUUUCUAGGUCUUCUAGUCCUUCCUCGUCUCCAACAAAACGUCAGCCGCAACCACAUAGGCAAAAUCCAUGCUGAUCUGAGCUAGAUCUGUAGUAGAGUAGCUCUCUCUCUCUCUCUCUCUCUUUCUCUCUCUCUCUCUCGCAUAAUGGAAAUGGCUAGAUCAUCUAGCUUCUCGAGCUUGUCAACAGGUAAGUGAAGAGGAAGAGAAGUAGGGGGCAGCCGCUAAAUAGGUCAUCGUAUUUCAUGGUCGUCAUCACCAUCAUCCAUUCGUUUUCUGUCAGCUGUGACUCGAGAGUCUUAUGCAGGAUGAGCUAAGGAAGUGUAGAAGGAGUCGGAAGGAUCACUGAGAAGAAGAAGAAGAAGAAGAAUCUACAGUGAUCCUCCUUCAUGGAGUUGGUACCAAACCCAGAUAGCCCGCAUUCCAAGAACAGCGGUGCCAUCAGUCCCAGUAGCAGGCGGCAGAACUUUAGCACCACCUCCUUGGCCGCUGCCAGCGCUGGCGGAGCUGCCACCUCCUCUUCCCCUCCGUCGUUAAGCCGCUACGAGUCUCAGAAGCGCCGCGACUGGAACACAUUUGGUCAGUACCUCAGGAACCACCGCCCACCGCUCGCCCUCUCCCAGUGCAGCAGCGCCCAUGUCCUGGAGUUCCUCCGCUACCUCGACCAAUUCGGCAAGACCAAAAUUCACACCCACAUGUGCCCCUUCUUCGGCCACCCCAACCCCCCCGCGCCGUGUCCGUGCCCCCUCCGUCAAGCCUGGGGCAGCCUCGACGCCCUCAUCGGCCGCCUUCGUGCUGCCUACGAGGAGAACGGUGGCAAGCCUGAGACCAACCCAUUCGGCGCCCGCGUCGUUCGUCUCUACCUCCGCGAGGUUCGUGAAGUCCAGUCAAAGGCACGGGGCGUCAGCUACGAGAAAAAGAAGCGCAAGAAGCCACCACAACAACAAGAGCAUCACCAUCCUCCGCCGCCUCCGCCCGCAGCCUGAUCUACCUGCAUUAGAUCUAUGUGCGUGCAUUAGCUAUGUGGUGAGCUUCCCUUCAUUCCAUUUGGUUGCCAUCAUCAUCAUCAUCCCUUUAUGUGCUCUUUAAUUCCCAGCUGAUUGAACCUAUGAACCAAACUGCUGCUACAUAUUUAAAAGUAUCUCAUGAGAUGUCGGUUUUGUGCAAUUAAAUCCAUUAUAUGAUCUGAACAUUUUGGUGCAUUAAAAUAGUCCAGUAGCUGCAGUGAGUGGUAGUGCUCUAUCAGUCUAGUGGGGGGAAAACAAAAGAAAAGGAGAGGGGGGGAAACAACACAAGUACAGUACGCUCGUGGAGGUAAAAAGCACCAGCUAAGAGGGAGCAACUGCUGCAGAGAGACCUCUGGUCGUGGGGAGGACUCUCCAUGAAUGGUAAAGAACAAAGAGAGGGAUGUGUUCACUAUUGUAGUUUUGACUGAAAGAGGUCACUGCGACGGGGUGUACUUAAGAUUCUUAUAAUGGCAAUGCAAGCAUCUAUUUCGCCCACAGCUCAGACCAACUUUUCUUCUUCUUCUUACGGUAUCAAAAGCUUAAGUGUGGAGACCUUAUAAUAUCUUGUCAGUCAGUAGUACCCAUGUAUGGUUUCUUUUCCACACAUUUAUAGAACUGGGAGUCAGUGCUGCGAUUCUGCAGCAACUUUUCAGAUACCUUACCAUUCAUUCUAACACCCAUUUUCUUUUCCUGCCUCGCUAUCAUCUCUCCCUCCUUAGGAAUUAUCCUCAGCACCGGCCGUGUAGGACUCUUUCAUUUCCAAGGUUUCCUUAUAAUCCACCCCUUGGGCUUGCCGUUCUCGAUGUUUUUGGCAAUCACAAACGCACCCACCCACUCCGACUUUACACUCGCAGCGAACCCAAAGCUGAUCCCAAGGUUGUGAUCGAGAUUGCCACAGGUAUUCGUCGAUGGAGGCGUAAGAAAGGAUCGAAAACUUGGGGAAUAGGCAUCCCAAGAUUGUGGUCUCACACUGUGUUGCUAUGAAUGAUUGGAUGGCAUUUAAGACUCCUCCCGCUGGGAGUGUGAGCAGACUCCAAUAUCUUCUUUUUACACUCCACUCCACUCCACUCCACUCGAUGGGAAUAGUGUAAGGUGGUGGUAAUAUAUUGAUUGCAUCGGUGGUACUUGUGCAUCUUUAGAAAUUCCUCUUCAUUGAUGAGCAUGACCACCACUGAGUUGGCUCUUAUACAUGGUAAAAACCAUGGCGACCUCGAGCAGGAGAUACGGCGGGGUUUAAGGUAUCCUCCAGAUUAGCGUUGAGUUGCAUGACCUGCAACUCGCAGGCUUGUUUCUUCUUUAUGUCAGUUUACUUGCUAGUUUGAGGAUUACUGGAUCUGUGACAUUGCAAAUUCUCAGAUGACUUGUCAUGCAAUGACAUGACUUUCUAUCUUGGAACCCUUUUUUAGCAAGUGAAAUAAUUCUUUUUCCUUCACACAGUAAACAACUCUACAUUGCAAUCAGCACAUAAUUCAUUUUUGGCUUUCGUCGUAUGAUUCUAGGGUUUCGAUGCUAAUUGUUGCAUCUACAUGCAGCAGCAGCUGCUGAUAGGUUUUGGUAUCAGUAUUGCAGAUGGUUGACAUUUGACCGCUUUGCUUCACUUCAUCUGCAUGUAAAAGUGAUCUUUGCAUGGUUUAUGCUCCAUAGAUGCUUCUACAGGAAUGGUUGUCAUCUUGUGCCAUCAGCUGUUGUAGACUACAUAUUUUAAGGGUAGGAGAUCGGAAGACUCGUGCUGUGAAUCUAUUUAACUGAAAGGUUGAUCAUUUCAAGGCAGUGAUGGAUAGAUUCUUAUAGUUCCCAUGUCGUGUUUCCAGAUUCUCUUCCUCUUUGGAUCAUCCAAGUGAAACCUUCGUCUAAGUUUCUAAGGUCGUGUCAUCCAGAAUAAAAUAGUGUGGUAAGAUUCAGCUUGUCGAGGUCCUGAGAUUGCACCAUCCUAGUUUGGAUCGAAGUGCAGGUGAGGAGCAAGUCCUCGAGCUCAUGCAUCUUCCUUUAUGGAUCUUAUCAAGUCUGCCCUAAUCAUCAGGUAUCAAUAAUGUCUUGGAUACUCUAACGACACAGAUAAAAAGCAGUGACGAAACAUAUCAGUCCAAGAUCUUGAGCUACACCACUGUAAGAUUGAUAUGGAAGAAGAUUAAGGAGUAGUAAAUGUCAGGUUUUGAGAGAGAAAGAGCUACAGCUAAUUUCCUAUUUCUCCUUGUGCACUAGAAAAGCUUAUAGUUCUUCUUUUCCUGCAUCUAGAAAAUGUGAAUAGCAACUAGCUUUCCAUUUUUAACAGCAGUUGUGCACUAGAAAAGUGACUUCUCCUUUUACAGUGCAAGUAUUUUGCUUUUAGCCUCUGAUAUAUUUCAUCCAAUUAAAUGUGCAAAGUAAGAAUGGUAAUUUAUUUUAAUUUGUUUGAUUUGUUUUCUCUACUACAUAAACUCACAAUCACAAAAUAAUGUUGUGCAUCUUAGAAAAAGAUCACAAUUAAUGGUUGAGAUAUUGAUCUUAUCAUUUUUGUCUUCAGCUAGUUUACAUGGUUAUCCAAAUUAACUUCCAAACAGUGCAUUUUCUAGUGAUUCAGAUUUUAAGCCAAACAUUUCUUGGUCUCAUCUUUUCUCUUCUUCUUUUUUGGAUCAUCCAAACCGAACUUUACUAUAGAUGAUUCACAUGCAUAAAAAUUACUCCACUACGUUGUUAUUUACCAUAGUUAAUCAUGAGAACUUUGAUUUGGACCUCUUUGAUCCAAUUGGAGAGAGAUGAAAAGAAAUCAAUAUUGCUGCUCGUAUAUUCUAAAUGGAGAUACAGAAGAUCGAGACGCAGAAUGUUUCUUAUUCGAGAAGGUAGAUUUGGAAUCGACAUCGAUUUGGAUUGUGAUGCCUCUCAAUUUCGAGUCUGGUGAUCCUUUAGAUAUGGUUUUGUAGCCAAACGAGUGUUCAUUUGCGUGCUUCUAAUUGAAAUCUACAUAUGCUUGACAACAUUUGACAACAUAUGGUUUUCUUUCCGGCAAUUCCUCUACCAUCUUCCUCUCUCUACGAGCCUUUGAAGCAUUGAAUGAUGGUAGGAAAGCAGUACAAGGAGUGACUGUUGAUCCUUCUAUCGUACACACAGUCUAUGAACAUGAAGACACUAAACCACAUCCUUUACUCUUUCAGUCUUCUUCCUUGCCCUAUUUAAUGGAGUAAAAUACCAGUGAUGUUAAAGCUAAAAAUACCAACAUCAGUUCCAUUUGAUGUGGUGCAAUAGUAGCAAAAGAGAGAACAAAGCUUGACAUGAUCAAGCGUUGAACCUUGUAACACAAGGGUUUAUACAUAUGCUUAUUAGGUUUCCAAGCUCAAUGUUUUUGAUUGUAACUAUCAUAGCAAAUCAGAAGUACAGUACACUCAAGUCUGCUGCUGGGAUUAAACCCACGCUCUUCCUUCAGACCGUUGCAAACCAUCCAAGUUGCAAUCAUGGCACACAAAUAGAGAUAAGAGAGACGAGAGAGAGAGAGAGAGAGGAAGGAGUCACAAUCGAUCAACACAUAGGAUGCAACAUAAGUGUCCCUCUGGAGAAUCUUUUUAGCGUUUCAAAGCCUCCAAACAUAAAUGGGACAAAAUAGAAUCAAUACUUGAGUGCCAAGUGAAUGAUUAUGGCUAAUGAUCAAACCAUGUGGCAAUCGCUGCACUUGCAUCACAAUCUAAAGCUGUUCACUUUCACGGAAGCUUCCAUCGAUGAAGAACAAUUGAUGCCGAUGCCUGCCGCGUUCAUCUGACCCCCAUGUUGCCAAUCGAGACUCACUUGAACAGGGAAUGCAAGUGAAGACUUGCAAUGAAGUCUCUUCAGAGCUUUCUGGCAAACAGUGGAACUGGAGAUUGCUAUCAUACGAAUACAAGGAAAACGAUAGUCCGCCAUGGACAUCGAUUGUUUCUUUCUGGAUCCAUACCAAGGAUUGUUUCUGCAGAUCACUGACUCUUGUGACCAAACACUAUCUUCUGCUUGUCACCUACUCCUACUCCUCCACCAGAGGCUCGACCAAUACAGCUAACACGUCCUUUUAACCUACUCCCAAUCAAGCAUGACUGAACCUUUGGCUUCUCUGUCUUCCUCGAUUCCUAAUAAUUUUUCUUCUAUUUUAUUUUAUUUUGUCAUGGUGGUGUGUUCAUAUUAAUCGACUAAUUUCUCGUUAGCAUGAUGAGAGGCAAACCACCGGAUCCAAAUUUUCCAUUAAUUUUUUCUCUAUUAUCUAUUAUAUUGAUUUGAUGAUGAUAAUUAUUAGUAGUGACAGCAUGUUUUCUCUCGCUGCGUAUGGUCACUGUGUUCCCUGGCAGGAGUGCGAGGAUGGGGUCAGGCCAAGGCGUGUAGUGGCAAAAGAAGGGGCCUGCAAAUUCUUGUGAGCUGAUGUGACGCCUCGGAGCACGAGGGCUGCUUCCCUCGAUGUCGGCGUUGCCCUUGGCACCAGUGGCCGGCGCCCACACGUCCGCCCCAGGGGAGUGGGCCCCCGCGCCGCGUACGGAGACGCCAGGUGGGGGGGCCGACGUCCCGUCGUCGUCGUCCCCGGUGUGUCAGCGUGUUUCCUGAAGCAGUAAAGAUAUGGCGGUAGCGGUGGCCGCAAGCCACUCGCCUUGUCUCUCCCGUCCCACUCUUUCUCGGGCUGUACGAACGAACGCUCACGGAUUUGACCUCCCUAUGCGGGUUGAUGUGAGGUGCAUUAAUUGGCACGGCAACAGGCAAUUAGUGGGAGGAGGAGGGUUAGGAAGAAAGCAAUCGGACGGUUCUCAUUAGAUGACAUUUCUGCCCAAAUUUCUCAGAUAUUUCUAUUUGUUUAUCAUAAUAUUGUGUAUAUAUAUAUAUAAUUUAUGAAAUUUUUAUAGUAAAAUUAACAACGAUAAAACAAAAGGAAAUUUGCAGAAACUUCAAAGAAGAUUAGAAAGAAAGAGUAGAAUAUAUGUUGUAAUCAUGUGCUGGCAUCAUCAUGCAUCCCCUCCCAUAGACCAACCCUAAAGAUGGUCUCAACCAUUAAGUGGCCAUUCGGCCACCCAAAAAGACUAGCAAUUAUUGAACAAGCUUUGUCGGGGUGUAUUUUGCAAUCAUUCAAUACCCAAUCAAGGAUUGGGUAUGACAUUAGAUGGAUGGUCUUUAAUCUUCAACUAUUGUUCGUAUUUUUGUGUGUGUGUGUGUGUGAGAGAGAGAGGACAUCUUUUGUGGAUUAUUUAAUUAUCUACUAAUCCAUAAUAUUGAUUAUAAUCAUAUUUAAAUUAUUAUUUAUAAUAUUACUUCUAGUACAUCAAUUAUAACCACCUAGUUAAUAUGAUAUUAAUCUUUUUUAUUGAGACAUCCUACAUCUGAGUUAAUGUAUUGUUACACCAGGUGACAAGUUUCUCGAGUCUCCGUAUAAGUAAUAUUUGUUUUAAAAAAUAAAUAUAUUAUUAAUUAAUUUUAAAAACUUAAAAUAUUAAUUUAUUCAAAAAAUUAUAAUUACCUUUUUUCUAUAACAUAACACACUAUAGGUCAUCUGAAGAAGGUUUUGGGAUGCACUAAUUAUUUGGUUUGGGCUAGCCAUCAGAGGUCAACUCUUAACACUUGUAUUCAAUUGUCUUAUAACAAGCCCAAUCCAAGUUCAACAAAACCCAACCAAGCCUAGUAGCAUUGUUUGCUGUAACCAUCCCUUUUAUUCAUUUUUUCUAUUUUUUUGGGCAUAUAUCGCACAAAAGCUGAUAUUUCUAUAUGGAAGCUUGGAAAGUUUAACCAAGAUGCUCUGCUCAAUCUUGGGUAUUUGCAGAUUCCACAAGGCCUUGAGCUGAUUAGAUGCUCUGCUCAAUCUCGAUUUACUAUAGUAAUGAAUAGAAACAUUAAUGAUACAACUUAUUUGAAAAAAGUUAUCAAACAGCUUCUUCACCAGCUUAGUUAAAAAAAAGUAGUAAUCAUAAUUUAGUUAAAAAAUUAAUCCUAUAUAAUAUUUCCCUUAUUUUGUUCUGAUUGCUAGCAAUCUUUGCCACCAUAUAAGAGCCAUAUCUUCAUACUGUAUAGAAAUCCUGCUUCACCAGCUAAUCUUCAUCAAUUUCCUUAUAAUCACAAAAUCCAACAUUUUACUAACCAACCUAUCAUUUUGUAUGAAUAUUUCGUUUUAUAAAUACUAAAACACUUGAAAUAAGAAGAAAAAAUCCAUAUAUAAUUAAAAAGUCAAAAGAUACAUAAAGAAAUAUAAAAACACAUCUUAAUUUGCUAUUAUGACAUGCACUGCAUCAUUAAUGGACAAUGUUUCAUUGUUUACUGAACCAUCUGCCAUUAACAAUGUACAAAGGUUCACCCAAUAACAAUGAAUAUAAUUUCCCUAAAGUCUACGAGAGGCUUGUUUAUGGUAAAAAACAUACCCCUGCUUUUCUUUAGGUAACCAUUCAUACAUCCUAUUCUAUUCUAUUGAUGAACUUCUACGACUGCCAAACAUCUCUUACUUCGGCAGUUUGAAUGUGAUCGUGGAACAAAAUGCUCAAGCAAACAAUUAAGGUCCCAUGCAAAUAUAUGGCACAAAAGAGACAAGAUACAAAUCCAGCUCGUCUAGCAAGUGCCCACCGACCUGCAAGUAUCAAAACCAUAUGCAGUCCAUAUAAGGUUGUAUGAAGGUUCACCCAAGAACAAUGAGCAUGAUUGAUAUUCCUAAACUUUAGAAGAUGCACUAUAAGGUCACUUAUCAUCAGAUCCAAUAAUGCUCACUAUAUGAUUUAACAUUACAUUUAUGAGACAGUAACAAGCAGGACUGUCUAACAAUAACCUAAAACCCAAUCUUACAGAUUUUAAGUCUAUACCUUCAAAAGAGGGCUGCAAAUCAUGGGAACUUGAAUGCUAAAACAGAACUGGACAACACUUAAAAAGAUAUCUGUAGACAACCUUAAUUGAAGGUCCACAAAGAAUACAUACCUUGGUAGGCCGCUUUGCUUCAGCUUCACCUUCACACCAAUACCAUGAUCAAUGAUCAAUUGAAGACAAUCUGAAUCUUCCCUUCAAUUCAUUCCCCUUUUCUUGGUGUGCAGACCACAUUGUGAAUAUCAUCUUCAAUUGCACGUUGGGCCAAAACUAUUCCAACAGCAGUACAAGCAGAUGCAUCUUUCCUUGACUUCAAGUCAAACUUUGUCCUUCAAGAUAGAGUGUGCCACAGCGAUCACCUUGCUCAUGAUCCUAUGAAAAGAAAAGGCUCGAACUGACCAUUUUGGAAACAUAGAUUAUCAAGACAGAAUGGUAGAAGGUAUGGAUCCGUGAGCUGGUUAAUUGUCAGCAUUCUCUCCCCCUUUUUCCUCCAUUACGAUUGAUUUAGUACCUAAAUGUACAUUUUUUAUUACUGGACUUACACCCCUUGUUCCAAAGUUUAGCCACGUUUGGCUUAAUGACUUUUUGUUUCUUCUACAUCAUUGAAGUCCUUUAUAUCAGUUUUGUUGUCCUUUCAUGACUCUUUUUAGCUGAUUUCUUGCGAUGGAACUGUAUAUUAUACCCUUUGAAUUCUUUAUAACCCUUGUUGAGAUUGUAGAACAAUUUCUUAUGCAGCCUCAAAUCCUCAAUCUCAUCAAAAUCCAAGGAUUCCUCUGCUAAUGCAGCAGAAGAACAAGAACAUGUCUCAUCACUGAUAUCCAAAGAGGAUGAUAAAGUUUCCUUGCCCCCAUCAAUAAGAUCCAAUGACUUCAUGGGGUUCAAAGAAACCCCCAAGAGAUCAGUGUCAACAACCUCGAUCCAGAAACUGUUUUCCAAGUUAUCUCUACCAGAAGGUAUAAUCUGCAGCAACUUGAUCAUCUGAGAAUGAUCCGAGGCCAGUGAACAUGCGUUGCAAGCUCUUUCCAAGGAUUAUAAUGCCCAUGCUGCCCAGAAGCUACAGAUCUUUAGAGUGAAUGAUGGAUUUGCUGUAAACUUUUGUCUCAGUGAUAGGAGGAACAUGGCCAUCGGUGUCGCAAGAUUACUUCAAUCCGGAAUCACGUUGUGGCUGGGAGAAGAUGAUCCAUCGUGUGGUCUAAGUGGGAGGCAAUCUGGGGAAGCUCACCAUCUUUUCCUGCUCCUCCAGCGAAGAAUAUCCCUCAGUCCCACCCAUCAUUACUACUACUCUAUUCCUUCCUCUGCAGCAGUAAGGCAUCAAAGGGAAAGCAGCCCUACAGUUUUAAAAAUGUUUGUGUGCAUUAACAAAAUCUACAUGGCAUAAUUUAAAAAAAUAAAAUGAUUGAACAUCCAAUGUCUCAUCAUUUACUGAACCUUAUGUCAUGAACAAAAUAUACAAAGGUUCACCCAAUAACAAUGAGCAUGAUUGAUAUUCCUAAAGUUUACGAGAUGCCUGUUUAUGAGCAAAAGCAGGCAACUGCUUUUUCUUUAGGGAAGACACACAUGCACAAACAUAUCCAUUAAGCUAAGAUUUAAAGAACAUAAAUACUAAAAAAACUGUAGUUUUUUUCAGAAAUCAAAAGAUAUCAAACAAUUGGUCAGCAGAAAUACAAAGGUAACUUAUCAUCAAACUCAAUAAUGACAAGCAAAACUGUCUAACAAUAAUCUAAAACCUAAACUUCAAGAAUUUGAGUUUGUGCUUCCAAUAGAAAGCAGCAAAUCAUGGGAACUUGAAUGCUACAACAGAACUUGCAGUGAUUAAAAGCUUGGUUUAUGCAGCAUUCAAAAGUAAAUUGAGAAAGCUACCAUGGAGAUUUUUGACAGACAAAAGAUAACUAAGAGCAUUCUUCCACACAAUAUGUUACAUACAGGUUCAAUACUGGUUUUCAACAAAUCAAACUGUACAUCAACUUGUCCUGCCUGGUAUAACUGAUAAACAUAAUAAAAAUAUGAAUACCAAUAUAUGGUCUGAUACUGAUCCUUGGUCAGAGCAGUAAAUAAUGAUCAGUACAUACCAUUAGGACCUUUUUUUGGAACCAUGCCACCUCAAGUGUCUCCAUUUCCAGUAUUCAUCUUCUCAAAACUAUAACUAAUUUACUCAGUUUGUUCUGCAACAACAACGCCUAUCUGUCCCCUAUGCGGCAAACAGACUCAAGUUUCACAGAAUGAUUUUUGUUUGAUUAAGCUUAUAGUUGAAAACCUCAAAUCCCCAACAGGAAUUACUCCAAAAGCAUAAGAUGAUUCUUUGAAUGCUAUAAAGUAAAUCAAUCACUAAAGAAAAAAAAGGAACUCGUAGGGACUUGCGAUUGGCAGGAUUGGUGGGUGGGUUAUCUCAAAGACGUAGCCUGAACGAUGAGGAAUAAGGAAGCCAUAAAAGAAGGUAUUACAACAAAACGAAAAUUCUGAAGAGAUCAGAUGAUAAUGAUCUAACCCACCACAAUACUGUUCUCAAAGAUCCGUUCGCCCGAGAUCUCAGACAUCCUCCCGCCUCCCCCCUUACGGAGGCUGGGAGGCGUUCGGAAAUAUGGCCUCUUCCUGGCGUAUAUAUAGGAAUUAAAACCCUAACACAUACCUCUCCCACUCCAUCGGAUUGGUCCGGUUGACGGCGCGAAAUCGCCCCAAUACUGAAAC